CUUAUUUUGUCAUUUUUAUUAUUAGAUUUGAACAAUAUAGUACUUUGGUAUUUUAAAUGAAUGUAAUUUAAUAUUUUGGUGAUGAUAUUUGAAAUAUAAAGUGGUAUAGAACUCAUGUAAUUUCUCAAUUUUAUUUUAUUGAUCAUAUUGCUCCUUAAUCAUUUAUUUUUAAAAAUUAUAAUAUUUGUGAGCGGCUGGCGACUCUGUUUCGGCACCUUGGCACCUUUUAGCGCUUAGCUCCCAGUCCUACCAAGUUCAUUUAGCCAACAUUGCUACUUGAUUAGUAUCUAAUUGCCCAUAACGUUAUGUAACUGAUACAAAUUAGUUGUUCGACAUUGGAGUAUAACCUAUUUAAAAUUGCUUCAGUUGAUGUUAAUUUAAUGAUCAUUGGAGCUUGGUUUCAUGGCACACCAGAUGGCUGUAGAAUUCAUGUCAGUCCAAGCUUUAGGUUGAUGAGAUAAAUAAUAGUGUCUUUGUGCACCGCAGUAUGCUUUUGUUGCUAGAUACUGAGACUCCUAUCUUCCAACCAAUUGAAAGAGAACAUGAUCAAUUUAUGUAUCAUGUUGCUAUAACCCCACAAUUUGAGACUCCAUUUACAUUAGAACUCAAUAUGGUUCAAACACCUCAUUUCAUAUAGCAUCGGAGGCCCCAAAAUAUCAAAUUCAGAACAGCAUCGACAAAAAAAAUAAAUUAACAGAAAUUUUAUAACUUUAAUUUUUUUCCUCCACAUCCUGUGAAUCCAUCGUUGGGGAAGAUAUGCACCCAUGUAUGCACUCGUACACUGGCAGCACAAUGUCAAUGUCUUAACACAUCAAAUCCUAGUGCAAAACGUUAAUCUUCUAAAAAUAUACCAAACCGGCAACUACUGCAAGGUGAUGCAGCAUUACAAUUCUUUUUCACUGGCUUUUUGUUUCUCUUGGACUUUGUGCAGUGCAUAUUUUACUUGUCAUUUAAAUAAUUGGGUUCCCUAUUGAUUGAAGAGAUCCAAAAAUAUAAAGAUAGAUGCCAAUUAGAAGCUUGUAUCGUAAGUAUCAUCUACUUUAGAGAUUGAUAUUUUAUUUUUGUAAUAUAUUUUUUGUUUUGUAGAUGAAGCCAAAAGACUGGAUACCCAUAUGGUUCUACUUGCAUAUGUGAUACCUACCUAUGCCGAGAAGUUUAUGUUUUUCGAUGAACAUAGACAAUAUUUUUUUCUGGCCUUCAAAUGUACCAGGUGUUGAAUAGAAUAAACUUUUCACUAUAAAAUUAAAAUUGAAGGGCAAUAGUCCUCCCUGCAAAGCCAAUAAACUUUUUCAUAUACGUCUCUGUUGAAGUUUAAAGCCUCGUAAUUGUUGUAAGCUAUCUAUAUGGCUUUCCUAGGCAUCGGCUGCUUCUGGGGAGACCCAAGUUUGAUCCUCUCUGUCACAAAGAAUGGUCUUCAGGGUGCUAAGGGAUUUCAUUUUUGGAACAAACACUAGCAGUAUUUUGCUGAUGCCACAAAUCAGUGCAGGUUGAGAAUUUGGCUAACCGAAGCAAACAAGCUCCUGUUUACUUCAUGUUGCAAAGUAUAAUUCAGCAUCGAUGCUUAGAAAACAUGGUGUUGGUUCUGCCCAUUUUUGGCACUACACUGAAAAAAGUAAAAGUCUCCUAAGCAAUUUCUCUUGUAUCUAGGUUGCAGGAAGAGUUUGUGAGCUUCUUUCUAAAUACUUUGCUUCCUCCCUCAUCAGUCAUCCUUCUUUUUUGUUUUCCCACAUUUUAUUAUAAUAUAUUAGUUCUUUAAAGUUGUCUUGUUUAUUCUUCUAACAUUAGGUUAAAUUUUUACAGUUUCUUAUUGCGUUACCUUUUUACCACAAAUGCAAAAAAGGUUCUUACAGGCUUCAGUUAGUUAUUACCUCUCGGUACAUAAUAAUGGUUAUUUAUUUUCCUACACAGUAAGCUUAAGAGCACUAAAUGUUCAUUGAUUUUCUAGUGAGAUCACUUCCAAUGGGUUUAUUCCAAUAUACCGGAAAAUUAUCUAGAUUACUUGUCAUUUUGUGUAUCCAAGUACUUCUUGUUUAUUCGCAAUUAUAUUAUAUGUUGCCACUCAUUUUCAUUGAUGAGAUGAACUAUUUUGCAGAUGUAUGCAAGAGUCUGAGGACCUGAGAUCAGCAUAGGUCUUUCAAUCCUUGCAGAUCUGAGAAUAAUAUAUGGUCGAUAUUGUUGAUCAUUAUAUUUGUUUUCUAUUUCAACUGAAGAUACACCAUAUGAGACUGCAGAGGAGCCUCGGGGCCUGUAAGUUUGGAAUUAUUAAUUAUUUCGAUGCACUUAAGCUCCAAGAAAGGCUUGCUUCUGAUAGAAAAUCCGGUAAAAUUCUGGAUACUAUCCUAUCCCUUCAGCAUCCACCAACAUAUACACUUGGAAAAAGGCGAACAGAUCAUAACUUAUUGGUGUCUGAGGCUGAUCUUAAAACCAUGGGUGCUGAGCUUCACUACACAGAAAGAGGUGGUGACAUCACAUUUCACGGACCAAGGCAAGCUAUUCUUUAUCCCAUUGUUUCUCUGAGAGAUAUCGGAUGUGGUGCAAGGAAUUAUGUUGAAGGGCUGGAGUCAGUGAUGAUAGAAGUAGCUUCCUUCUAUGGUGUCAACGCCCAUGCGGGGAAAACAGGUGAGACAGGGGUGUGGGUUGGUGACCGAAAAAUUGGUGCAAUUGGUGUUCGAAUAAGUUCAGGCAUCACUUCACAUGGAUUGGCCUUCAAUAUUGAUCCUGAUCUGAGCUACUUCAAGCAUAUUGUGCCUUGUGGAAUUCCGGACAAAGGUGUUACAUCCUUAAAAAGAGAGACAGAGAUGGAACUACCACCUGAUGAAGUGAUCCAUGAGCAGCUGAUUCACUGCUUUGCGAAGGUAUUUAGAUUCAGUGACAUCCAAUGGAAAACACAAUGAUGAGCUCAAGUGGCGGUUACAUAAUUCAUGGCAAUGAUAACUUGAAUGGUGCAUAAAUUCAUCGACUUCUAACCUGUUCAUUGAAGUGUUUUUUAUGUGAGCCUUCUCAAUAAUGGAAGUGGGUUUUAUUGUGUCGGGUGGAUCAUUGAAAAUUAGGUUGCUGAAAUGUUCCAUUUCCCAUCCUUUGUGAUCUGUGUGAAGAAGAAGAAAUUUUCAUUUGAUGGAGUCUUCAGAGUACACAGAUUUUACUGAAGGAUGAUUACAAUCGAGCACUCCUGUAUGUGAAAGACUGCACCUCAAAUCAUAGCACUAAAAGAGUUGCAGCUUUCUAACAUGUACAAUCUCACUAAAUUUAUGGUAUCAAGAUUAAAUCGAAUUGAGUCUAAGCAUACCAGGAUAUUAGUAGGAUGGGAAUAUUUAAUAGUGUAAUAAAUAUAUAUACAUAAUACAAUAUAAUAUAUAACAAAAGAGACAAAGUUCUCUUUCUUGAUUUUUCUCUUUUUUUAUAUAUAUCUUCUUUUUAAUUGUUUUUCCUGUUUCCUUUUAUCUUUUUUGCCCUGCUCACCUUCUUCCAUUUCUGUUAAUACAACAAAGGAUACUACUCUUCAACUUAUAAGGAGGCAAAAAUGUUAUUGGAUGUGCAAAGUUUUUUUGUUUACCAAUAUAACAUUGUUUUGAGGCACUUUAUAUGACUAAUUUUAAAGUAAAGAACCAGACCUGUUUAAAUCAAUUUUAUAACUUAAUUUGAGGUUAUUUACUUAUCGAUCAUUUUAUUUUGAAUGUAUUUACAUAUCAAUUUCUAUCUCAUCAACUUUUAUAUGCCAAAUGUUAGUUCCUUUUGCUAGUUCAAUUAGACACCUUCAAGUCAUUUAUUAGACUAGAUAUUAACCUAACCAAUUAUUAACCUCUAUAACAACAAGUAUCCAACAAUAUACCAACUAGACAUAUCAUGUUAGGAUGAGUACAUUCUCAUUUUGAACUCUUGAAUCUCAUUUAAAAUCUCAAACCCUUGCAUAGAAAAAUAUUGACUUAAACAUAAAAGGAUUUUAUUAGGUAUAACUUCUAUGUAAGUUUUACCUCCUACCAAGUCACAUUAUGAGUUUGGAAGAAGACUCCCUAAGGAGGGAGAUAUAUUCCUUGGUUAAUCUUCAUAUCACAAUUCACUUUCAAACAAAUUUCUUGUCGAUUCUAAAUACAGUAAGAUAUAUUAAAAAUAUUGAGUUAAUGUUGUCACAUUGAGUUGAUGACCAAAUUGUCAUUAACAUCCAUCAAGAAAAUAGUUACCUCUAAUGUAAAAGUACAUAUGAUUAUUGGAAAUAAAAUAUUUUUGUUAAAUUAUUUAAUUCUUCUGAUUUAUUUGGCAAAUAAUGACAAUAUAAUUUUGUCAAAAAUAUAUAAAUGAGUAAACAAAAAAAACUAAAUUUAGUUUUUAGUUACACUUCAUUAUCACAUGAUGUCGAAUUGUAAAUAAUGAUAAAUUAAAGACUAAUAUGUAAUGAGUCCAAAAUAUUAUGAUAGAUAGGUUAAUAAUCCUUGAAUCUUAAUUUGAACUUAAUAAUUAUUUUUGAUGUGAUAAACAUAGAAAAUUAUAUUUAACUUAAUGAUGUAAAUAUCAAAAUAUUUAAUUUAAUGAUGUAAAGUAUCAAGGCAUCUGAUACUUCUUAACAAGGCAAAGUAUUUCACUCGAUGCAUCAUCACAUUUGAAUUAUCCUUUGUCUAAUUUUGAUAUUAUAAAACCCUGAUCAAAAUUGACACUAUAACUUGUCAAGAAAACAUAUGAUUAUUUUAAAAAUCCAUGACUUUUGAGAGUAACUUUUUGUUAAAUUGUUUUUAUUUUACCAAUUUAUUUGGUGAAAAAACGAUAAUAUAAUUUUUGUCAAAAUAUAAAAUUGGGUGAAAAAGUAAAGAAGAAUUCUAAAUUUAGUGUUUUGUGUACUUCAUUAUCUCACGAUGUCAAAUCGAAAAUAGUGAUAAGUUGAAGACUAAUAUUAUGAUUAAUAUGCUUUGAAUCUUAAUUUGAACUUAAUAAUUAUUUUUGAUGUGAUGAACGUAGAAAGCACAUAUAUUAUGAUUAAUAUGCUAAUAAUCUUUGAAUCUUAAUUUGAACUUAAUAAUUUUUUUGAUGUGAGAAAAGUAGAAAGCACAUAACCAUGACAAUAUGUGUGAUGGCUGUACUGCUAAUGCCCCAGCCAUGCAACGGUCGCAUGAUUUAACCCAAAUCUGGUGGUAUCCAUCAAAUUUGCUCGACUUGGGUUCAGCAGAUUAGACGUCUAUUAGCCAAUUCGACCGCUAAUUCGGAUCCUCCCGAAACCGACACAAAUGCGAUUAGAGAUUCAAACCCGAAUCAACAGUUAAACAUCAGUUAAUAAUAGACAGUAUAUUCGUCUAUUUACUCUACCCGAAACGAGAGUUAAAGCACUACCCGAACCCGUUCCAAUUUCUGAUGAAACCCGAUCCGAUUUAAACGGGUCGGAUAUACGGUUUCCAAGCGCAAAGAGGCACGACGAAGCAAGAUUUGGCGAAGCGAUCGACGGAGGGUCGUUUCCGGCUCCGCCCCCUCUCGGUCGCUCCGUGGGAUGCGGGAAAGUUCACGCUUUCUGGUGCCCCCUUCCCUCCGCUCUUCAAUCUCCAACCGUGCUCUUCGGCUCCGUCUCGUCGCUGUUGGAUCUUCGAAACCCUCGCCAAGGGUUUCCGGCCUUUGAUCGCACCAAGAACAACGAGUCCGUGUAUACUCCCAUCUUGCCGUCUGUUCCUCUAUUGGAACCGAAGUUCUGGGAUCUUUUGCUCUAGACAAGCACCAGAGAGCGAUGACCGAGGAGCCCAAGGCAAGUUCCUGAUUUUCUAGGUUAUUUUGCUCCCGGCGUUUAGGGUUAAGUUAUUUGGGCGUCUUUUGUCUACCUGGGUUUGUGUACGAUUUUGUACCCUGAUUCUUGUUUCUUGAGUAGAAAGGCGAUGAUAACGCCACUACCGACAUAUACAAUGUCGAAGCUGCCGAAAUUCUUGUGAAUGAGGCCCAGGUGAGCUUUCGCGUCCAUUUCUAUGUUAGAUAAUUUACCUCAAAGUUGUAACUUCUUUGUUACUAUUAUUAUUAAGAGAGGAUUUUCUUCUGUCACUCGAGUGAUGCGUGAGUGAGAUUUGGUUGCUUGUGUUUAUCUGAUUUACACUUGUUGUUUCUGAAGGCUCUUCCUAUCACCGAGGCGGCUCCAAUCUAUGAGCAGCUCCUUUGUACAUUUCCCACGGCUGUAAGUGGUUUAUAUUUUAUUUCUAUGUUACUUUUCCUUUUCCCAGAUUGACGUGCUUGAAAACAAUUCCAUGAAAAGGAAGAAAAGAUGCAUUGUGUCACUAGAGGUUAAUAUGGAGUUGUAAAAUAAUUUUUCAUGGUCGGAGGAAGGCGUAAUGCAGAGAUUGUCGUGAUUCUCAGGCUCUCGCCAACUUGAAUAAACUUCUUGCCUACUGGUAGCUAUUGAAAUAAUCACUUUAAGAGCUGUUUCCUUCUUAUUUGGAUUCCUCUUGCAUCUGCAGGCAAAAUACUGGAAGCAAUAUGUGGAGGCAUACAUGGCUAUCAACAAUGAUGAAGUUACAAAACAAAUUUUCAGUCGGUGUUUAUUGAAUUGUCUUCAAAUAUCUCUUUGGUAGGCUUUGUUUAUUGUUUAAUAUAUUUAAGGGAGUGACUCUUUUAGUAACAAAUAUUAUAGUUUUUCUUAAUCUUUUAAAGUGAGCAACGUACCUUAGUUUUUUUCAUGUACACUGGUAUUAAUGCCAUUUCAAUAAUUUCUUUUGAUGAAAAUUUAAAAUCCUACGUCAGUUAAGAAGUUAGAUCCUGAGUAUUAUUGUUGUUUCUAUAUAUUGGCCUCCAGUUUCACAUUGAUAGCUUUGGCAUAUUAUAAACUUUGCUCAUUAUUCUUUAAGAUUUAAUAUCGACCUUUUGUUGCCCCAAAUGUUUAGUCAUCCUUUUAACAAUUCAAUUUUAUGAAAUUGAGACCACAGAGUUGUUUGAUGCUAUUUCCUGCAUAUAACUAUUGUAAUUAUUCAUGGGCAUAUAGUUUCCAUUUCUAUUCAAUAUUUUGUAAACUGUUCUCAUGGUUCGAAAUGAUAUGAAAUUUUUGAAUAUGAAGUCCUCAAUAAAUGGGGGUGAACACACAAUUUUUGAAUAAACCCACAGCUGAGGUGAGGGAUUGCAAUAUGACACAGACAUAUUGUGCUAAUUGUCUUUUGGUGAAUUAUGAUUUUUUAAUUAAAAUAUGGACCCCAAAAAUAGUGGUUCCUGCUUUUGUUUCUUGCACUCUGAUUUCAUCAAAAUGCUAGAAUAUUCAGAGCAUGAAAAAAAACUGAUGUAGGAUGAGACUUAGGGUUAAUUGAGUCAAAUCUGUGUUUUUCAGCUUUUACUUUUUAUCGUUUUUAUGUUAUUUUUUUUAAAACUACUUUUGGUGAUUGUUCUUGUGUUUUUCUUUUGUAUUGUAUUGAUGCUAGGAGUUCUGUGCAUUUAGUUGAAUGUAGUAUGGCUUAGAGAAGUUACUAAGCAUCAGAACUCAAGUUUGGAUAACUUAAGAUGUCUAUAUGGAACUUUGUGGGAAUAUGAAUAUUCCUAAAAAGUAGUAUUCUAUAUUUAUGUUUAUUCUAGAGCGAUAAUUUAGAUUGGUCAGGUUGGAAAAAAGUGGAUUAAUUUUGAGAUAUGGUGAAUUGUGAGUUGGAAGAAACUUAAUAUCCUUAGUACUAUGACCUGCCUUCCUUGUGCUCUCCUUCGCUGCCUGCCUUUUAUAUUCUUUUAUUUUGGCGCUCCAAUUCAUAGAAAGCAUAUCUUACAUUACUCCUCCAAUAACCGUUCAUUGAAAUGAAUUUUUGUUAUAAUUAAAUUUCUUAAUACCUGACAUUAUCUUUCAUUUAAUGUUUGACUACUAAAAUGAAUAACUUUUGUAAUUUGAUUGACAUUGUGGAGAUAUAUUAGAUGUGCUGAUUUUUCAGGUCUACAAAAGACCUUUUUUUAUACUCCCAUCUCUAAACUAUCUAUCCAGAUGAUCUGUUAAGUGCUUUCGACAUGAUUCCUAGGAUAUCUACCUCUUAAGGCGUGCCUUAUCAUUUAGAACACAUUAUGGUGGUAACAUGUAUACUGCAAGCAGCACUUACGUGCUGAAUCAAUAGCAACUUGUAAAGAGAGCUGGACAAGUUAUAAUUGAGCAAAGUUAAGUUCUAUAUUUUAUUUGCUCAUAUAGCAUCAAAACUCCUAGCUCUUUACAUCAUUGAGAUAAAGUCAUGAAGCAUCUGCUUUUGCUGAAUCUAGCUCUUUUCUGGGGUGUUUGGAUAAGGUCUUGAAGGAAAUAUCCAAAAGAUUCAUCACAUUUCCUUGUAUCUAUAUAUUGUUGAUGGAUUUAUUUUUAGUAGGAUCGCCAUAUGUUUUUUUUUCUUUCCUUUUUGUGUAUUUGAAGGUAUUCCUUUUUAGGUUGUGCACUUGUAGCGUUAAAUGCCUUUGUUUACUAUUAUGUGAAAGCCACUAACUAAUGGAAGGAAAAAGGUAUUUGAAUCAGUAAGGUCAAUUUCAAAUUUUUUGAGUAUGAAGGAAAAACUGAUGUUAAAAAUGAACAAAGAUGGAAACUCAAGGAUCUCAUGAUGACAUCCUUAGUUUAUAGCUUUUAGCACUUUUGAAUUUCCGGUAUGGACCACCCAAUAUAUACCGGUCCGUCAAAACAGUGGGUUUGCAGAAUAGUGAACCAUGAGUAUUUCCAUCUGACAUUUUGCCUAUACGGCCUUGACCGAUAUGUUCUCAUUUUCCUUUGUUUUGAGGUUCCAAACUUGGAUGACAGCCAAACUUAUGCUCUCUUUGGGUCUUUACUCUUGUGUAUGCUAAUGAAAUCUAAAAUGUUAAUAUUUUACCUGACUUAUCUAGGAAGGGUAAACACUUCUUCGGGUGAUUGAGUAAGACUUGGUCAGGUUUUAAUUGUUAGUGCUAAUACAUUAUUAUCAAUAAUGUCAUUUGCCAUUUAGUUUAUUUGAAUGAUUUUCACAUGUCCAAAUUCAAAGAGAGUAAAUAAUUAAAUUUCGAGGCAUGGAAUCCACAGUAGCAAUGAAGACUGUUUUAUUACCAUCUUAAGCAUUCUUGUCAUCUCAAACAACUCGUAAAAGUAUUUUUGUUGCUUUUUUUCAUUUUGUCGUCCCAUAAUUACCCUUGAUCAAAUAAAAAAAAGAUCCUCGUAUAAGCAGUGCUACAAUUGGUAAACAGAUUUUCUUUUUUCAAGCUAAAUUAUUGGUUGUUCUAAUAUGCCUGUAGAAGCACAGUAGGCUAUUGACGUAACAAAUCAUGAUAGGCUAUGUGAUUGCCACUGUAACAUGUAGAUGGUAAUAGUUACAUUUGGUGUAAAUCUUGUUCUUCAUCCUUGUAUUUCUUUUGAUUACAGCUUUUUGUUAAAACAAUCUGAGGCACAGUUAUGGGUGAUAAAAUGAUAUCAGGAAAUACGAAGGGUGGUACACAAAAAAUUAUUGAGGUGAUCGUGUAUCCAAAACUUUCUGUUGGAUGCACUAAAUACUUUAAGCCAUAAUUUUGGCAGGCCUAAAGCAACAAAGAUUUUGUGGUACCUUUUAAUAACCGUGUAUGCAUUGUAGAUUUUACUUUUGUAUAAUUUCAGCUGGAGGAAUAAAUCUGAACCGGGGUGAGAGGGUUUGUCUAAAACCAUUAGCACUUAAUAUUUGUGAUUUUUCAGUUGCAUAAGAACUUGAUUGACAGGUGGAUGGAUCUAGCUUCACCUCUAUAUUAAUCCACUGUCAGAAAAAUGUCUUUCUUUUGUCUUGAACCGUGGUAGGCUUUUCAAAAUUUAGUUGGAAUAUUAUUGUUUAAGUCCUGUAUGAAAAAUUUAUAAGUAGCUGGAGUUAAUCUUAGUAACAAUAUAAUUAUUUAAGUAUUUUCGGAUUCUCCUAAUGCAACAUCCUUUUUUGGAAAGUUAUCAUUGUAGAAUUCAGCUUGAGGUUUAGAUACUGGCACUAAUACGAUAGUCUAUAACACUAUUGGACUGAGACAUACUGAUUAGUAUGAUAUCAUACUGUCUGGUACACCCAAAACAUAUUAAAAAUAUUUAAUAUUGAUAUUUGGUCAGUAUAUUGUGUUUCUGAAUUCUGACAUACCAAUGUGUACUGUAUGAUAUUGUCAAAAUACUGUGAAAUCUCAUAACCUGGUACUGCUUGUUAAAUCUUAUAGUCAUGGGAAAAAAUUCUUAUGUUAACAAGUUAUUGCUUUUUAUUCUUUUGGAUGCUUAUUGACAUUGCUUAUUUUCAAUGUGUAGGCGGUGUUACAUUAGCUUUAUAAAGAAAGUAAAUGAGAAGAAGGGACUUGAGGGUGUAGAGGAAACCAAGAAAGCUUUUGAUUUCAUGCUGAACUAUGUUGGUAUAGUCAAGCACCUCUGCUGUUUGGAGUUUCUUUUGAAAGUUUUUCAUCUUGGAAGUCCUGUGUCGCAUGUGAUGUACAGUUGUUUCAAAGACCUUUUCUUUUAAUUCAACAAAUUAAGCUAUUAUACAUCUCUGUAAAUGUCUUAUCAGGUCCAUAACUAUAAAUGUUAACAAAAAGAAGAUGAAUAGAAUUAAGAGUUCAAUAAUUAUAUAUUUGAUUUUGUGGAAAUUUAUUUCAAGGUGUUCAAGCAAAUGCCUUUUAUAAGAAGGCAACCAUUAUGCAAAUGUUCAUAAUUUCUUCCUGCAACAUUUACAUGCCAAUAUAGACUCUGGAGUUUAAAGAUAUUUGCAUAUUAGAAAAAGCUUUUUAUCUCUUUUAUCUUAUGAACCAUGUCAACAUGGUUUGGUGCUCAUUUUCCUCAUGGCCAUCACUUCCUUUUUGUCAAGACAAAUAACCUCUUAACAGUUGAGGCUGUCUUAGGAUACAACUUAAUUAAUCACAAACAGCAUGUGGAGUUUUUGGUCAUAUCCGGCAUUUUUGUUCAUUUUUCCCUUCUGUUUUGUUUUAGGUGAUACUUGAAUUUGUCCAACUUUCAUAUUUGAUAAUGCUAGCAUAAGUUUUUGGCUUCAUUGUUGAGCAUUUAGUAAUCUGACUCUAUUCAUACUUAAACAGGAUACGAUAUUGCUUCUGGACCUGUAUGGUUGGAGUACAUUGCUUUCUUGAAGUCAUUGCCAGUCGGUGCAGUCCAUUUCAGUCUCUAUUCCUUGUGUUUUGCUAAGAUUACUUAUAGCAUUUUAUAUGAAAAUGAUGGCAUGACUUUUACACUUGUUCAAUUAGGCUAAGACAGCUCAAGAAGAAUCACAUCACAUGACUUCUGUAAGGAAAGCCUACCAAAGAGCAAUUGUAACUCCAACUCAUAAUGUAGAACAGCUCUGGAAAGACUAUGAAAACUUUGAGAACUCUGUUAGUCGCACGUUGGUAAGAACUUAAAGGUUUACGAAUCUGAAUAUUAAAUGCAAUACAAGUUUGGAACUUAUAUGAGAGAUCCUUGUGAAAAAUUAUUUGUUAUGCAAGUUUAAAUGAUUUCUUUCAGGUUGUUCAUUUUCUUAAUGCAUGAUACUUUUAUUUUUUUACUCAAUUCUAUAGGCAAAAGGGCUUUUAUCUGAAUAUCAACCAAAGUUUAAUAGUGCCAAGGCUGUAUACAGAGAGCGGAAAAAAUAUGUUGAUGAAAUUGACUGGAAUAUGCUUGCUGUGCCUCCAACCGGCUCUUACAAGGUUUACUUCAGUUUUUACUUUAGGUUUGAUACUUCAACUUGUCUAAUAUUGAAGUAACUUAUGCAUAUCAAUGUUGUUAGAUGUCAUUGUUACUUUAUCCCAAAUUUUGCUGAGAAACGUGGAGUUUUCUUCAAUUAAAAGCAAAACAAUGUUAGUGCCUAUACUUCUGCAAGGGCAACUGCCAAGCUAUAUAGCAGAUUAGUGUAAUCAUCUAGUUAUUCUUACUAUCUCCUUAGUUUAUAUGUUUAUUGUUAUUGGUUUAUCUUAUUGUUACUCAGGAACAGAAAAUGAUAAUGAUGGUAGCAAAAAUAAAAAUAGAUAACAACUAAGUAAUAUAGUCCAAAAAAUUUAAGAUCAAAAGAAAGAAAAAUGAUGACCCCUUCAUCUAGCGGUUGGAAUUCUAAGAAAGAACUGCUCAAUGAUGGGUCAAGCAUAUUAUGUCUUUUGCGCUCCCCUGGUUUAGCGAAACAUGCUUUAGAUUCUGAAGAACCUCACCAGGAAGAAACUUAUAAUUAUCACAAUAAUAUAAUUCUCAGAUCAUUUAUAUAUCAGGUAGCUGUAUUCUCUUGGUCAUUACACUAAUAGCCAAUGAGUUAGACAUGCAAUUGGAUACUGGAUACUUCAAAAGGAAGAAAUAGUAAACUAAGUUAGACAUGCCCACUUGGAUACUGAAUACUUCAAAAAGGAAGAAAUAGAAAACUACUGAAGCACAUUAAUAUUAUUGGUUCAUCUUAGAUGAUAUAGAGGUAUGUUCAAUUUAGUUAUCAUUCGAGAUAUCAACUUUACUAGACAUUUCACUUCCAAAUUGUUCUAAAGAAAAGUUAUAUUAAAUUAUUAAUUGCAAAAAAUUAUGCUUCUAAAUUGCUACUUAAGCAUUUAGAUAUUGGCCCUUUGAACUGCUAAGUUGAUCAAGUGGCUGCUAAACAUUUAACUAGGUAAAUGUUUAAGCUUUUGUUUGAAGCUAUUUUAGCAGCAUAUUAGGUGCUCAAUUAGCUACUAUGAACCAAACUAGGAUCUACAAUUGUUUACUGUCUGAUCCAAAUUUCUCUAUCAUCCUUAUUCUGAGAACAAUCUAUUUAUCUUCAUGUAUUUAAUAUAUAUUAUCAACAGUAUAAUUGUUGUCAUUUGGUUGUUACUAUCUUUGCAUUGAUGAUCCUGUGUAAAGAUCUUACUUUCUCCAGAUCUUUCUUUGAUUUUAUUUGAAAACAAGAGUCUUAAGAGGCAAAUUAACUUUUACCUUUGAAUUUAUAUUUUCCCUUAUGAAUUAGUAUACAUGAUUUGAAGAAGGUAAACAAAAGGAAAGCACAGGCAGAUAUAAAAAACAUGAAGCCAUGAGUUUUCCAAAUUUAGCAGCAUCAACCACACUGGUGACAUGGUGAUAUAUAUGUGCCCAGCUGAGAUGCAAGAGUUUUAUGCAUAGUGACAUGACAUCUGUGUCAGGUUGUCAGCCCAAUGUUGUGUUGUCACAUCCUUAUAAUGGCAUGUGAUGGGCAUUAACACUACCAGCAAAAUAGGUGCCAGGGUGGUGCAAGUCAUUGAGACUGUAGUGUGCAAUACAAGGUUGUACCUUGUAAGAACAUAUGAUAGGAUUAAUUUAUAAUCUUUUUUUUUUUGUUGAGAAAACUAAUAUAUAUGUCUUCAUGUUCCCAGUAUUACUGAGAAGUAUUACUUUUUUCAUUAAUUUGGACAGCUAGUAAAUUUUGUAAUUCCUCGACCUCCCCACUUUAUCAAAUGAGUUUUUCAGUUGUGCAUCCAAUCUCAUCUUCAUCCUUUUGGCUUCAGAUCUCUCUCUCUCGAUCUCUAUCUAUCUCUUCUACUUCUCUCCCCUAUGUUAAUUAUUAACUUGUAAGAAUUUCUACUUGCAGGAAGAGCAACAAUGCAUGGCUUGGAAAAGACUUCUGAUUUUUGAGAAGUAAGCCAGUAACUUUAUUUUUUUUCGUACACUAAUUGUACAUCUGACCUGAUAGCUGUUUAGGUUAAAGUUAAAUGAAUGUUAAAUGAAGUCAAACUUAUCCAGCAUUAGUUUCAGUUUUUUUGUUCUAAAUUUUAAACCAAUAAACUUAACUUUGAAACUGAAACAGCCAAAAAAUAAGUUGCACAACUCCUUAUUGGUAGCAGAUCAGUGACAUUUUUUAGGUUACACAUUCUUACAUGCUUUAAGAUCUAUGCAUAUGUCAAACAUGGAUCGAAAAUAAAAUUUGAUCCUAUGGUCCAAAUAGAGAAAAAAGUUGAGAAUCCUAUUACUUUAUUCUCCUGAAGGUGACAGAAAUGUCAUUGAGAUGCAAUUGCAUUGGUUUAGGUAUCUAGGUCAAAUCUUCAAUAUAGUUGAAUGGGACAUGAAUCAGUUUCUAGGUUAUCACGGUUGCAUCUUAAUUUUUUCCCCCUAAAAACUUGCAUCUUAAGAUUGGUCCAAAUCGGAUUCAUUUACAGGCCUAAUAUUUGGGAGUUAGCUUCAUGAACAAAAUAGUUUUUUUGACUGGUUUUGUGGUGGAGUUAAGAAGAUGUUUGUUGUGAUGUAGGACAAGUACUCUGGUACCAAAUCAGAUGUUGGACAAAUUGCUCUGUUAUCAAUAUGAUAUAUGACAAGUGAUUAAUAUCAAAUCUGAUGUAGGACAAAAGCAUGAAUGAGUAAAGAACUUAAAUUUUAUAGGUUUUGUAGUUGUAGAAUAGAAAAGAACAGAUAUUAGAUGAGAUGAAAGGAAAAAAAGAUCCCACUUAUUCUGGCUUGAGCAUUAAAUCUCAGGUCACGCAUGGACGAUGAGAUCACACGAUCUAGAAAAGAAUGUGACCUCACACCACAAAAACACAAUAUAGAAAAGACUUCAUUCAUUCAGUCAUUUUGUAAGUAUCUCAGAAUAUUCCUUCCUCCUUUAUAAAACCCUAGGUACUAAAAGAAAAAAAGAAAAAAAGAAAAAAAAUAUAAACGAGGAAACAAAGUAAUCAAGAAGAUUACAUCUACUAAGUGAAUGCACAUCAAUCAUUUUUCUUUCCUUCUUUGCAUGAUAUAUAUUUCUAGAUUUGUUUUUGGCAAAUAAUCAUCCUUUUUAUAAUAUAUUUAAUUUAUAGGUUUUUUCUUUAUUAAGCCUUCAAUUAUUAUCAUACUAAUUUUCUUGUAUGGAUGGAAUCUUUAAUCAAGAAUCAAAAUCUCCAAUCAAGCCUAAGAUUUGUCUUUGUCUCUUUUCUCUACUUGUUUGGCUUCCCUUUUUUCCUUCUCUUUAGGCAAUCUUGGUAACUAAUAUAAAAUUUAAAAUAUGUCAUGUGAUAACUUGUGGCAUUUGAAAAGAUCACCUAUACUUGCAGAAUCAAUAAAAAACCAAAAUGUUUGCUAUAGCAUGGUUCGUCUUAUUGGUCCGUACUAGUGUAUCGAUCAGUUGUCGGUACGACAUGGUUCGUAUCAUACUGGUGUAUUGACCAGCUAUCAGUAUGACACGUAUCGAGCUGUGCUGAGCAUACCAACACAGUACAUUAGAGUGUUUCGAUGUAUUGCUCGUACUGGUCCUCUGUCGAAUCGGUACAUAUCGCCUGUGCCGAGCAGUAUGCUUGGGUACAUCAAACCUUAUGGUACGAUACGUAUCGAGUUGUAUCAAGUGUACUGAUAUAUGGUACAUGGGGGCAUACUGAUGUACCGCCAUACUGGUUCCCUGUUGGACCAGUAUGUACCAUCCGUACUAAGCGGUAUGUUACGGUAUAAUGAACCUUGUGCUAUAGUAUUUUCGUGUUGGAACUUCCAAAGCUACACAAAUAUAGAUUCUGGAGAAUACAUUGCACAACAUACUCAAUCCAUUGAAAAGAGUUUUUUCUGAUUCUCAUUUGGUAAUUUGGCACUUCUGUGUUUCUUUGUAUUCUUUAUUAAAACAUUGGACUUGGAAUGAAACUUUUGAAACAAUGUGAACUGAAACCAAAGCUCUAUGGUUCCAACCAAAAACAAAGUGGAGCUUUGAGGUCUCGACAGGCAGUUAGAUUCUGCAAUAUAUUUACUUCUUAGAACAGCAGGAGUUACCAUAUAUAUCGCUCUUGAUUUUUAAGACCUUCAAACUUGAAAAUCGAAGCUGACAUUAACUUGUUAAUGUUAUUGUUUUACUUUGAUAGAGGCAUAUAAGAUUAUAUGUCAAUUCAUGGCUUGCAUUAGGACAAAUAUUUCAGCUCAAGAAUUGAAAUAUGGCCUAUAGUGCUUAUUCCCAGUUGGCAUUGCCAAUGUGUUUGUGCCAUUUCCUGCCAAGUUAAGCUGACAUAGAUCAUGACAUGCUAAUGUUACAUGUCCACAUCCUUGGAUUCAAAAUUUGUGGUAUGCCACGUAUACAAACCAUAAAAAACUAAUAACCAUGUACCAGUGGACAAUAUUUUAUUAUUUUAUUAUAUUCAGGUGUUCCCAAAAAAAAAUAUUUUAUUAAUUUUAGUAAAUACCGAAGUAUACUUUACUAAUAUAUCAUACCAAUGUAAGAGGGGACUGAUAUGGUCCGAUAUCAAAGAUGAAUUUGUUGCCUCUGUCCACCUUUAAAUGCACAAGUAUAACCUGAACUUUAUGUUGGUUCGUAUUUUGGAAGCAGUCAUACUUAGCUUUGCAGAAGAACAUCUUUUGUGCUAGUAUGAGGUAGCACACCAAUAAACUUCGAGUAUGGCAUGUAGCUUGGUAUCCAAUAUACACUAACACUUCCAGUAUCUUGCCUUAUAAAACUACAGUUAAUUGGUACUGUAGUUCCAGAUUCCUUACGUAGAGGGUUAAAGGAGCUCUUGAAAUAUGGUAGUUUCUUAUUUAGCUUCUGAAUAGUGCUCUUUUCGAUUCCUGUUCUUGUCGAAUUGAAAGCAAACACAAUUUUUUCCUGUUACCUUAGGUUCCUGACAGAGAGCAUUCUCCAUGUAUAUUAAUAUAGAUCUUGGGCAAGUGCAUUAUACUCUUCCAACUAAUUCUCUGUUGGUUGUUGUCCAGAGGGAACCCACAAAGGAUCGACACUGCAUCUGCCAAUAGACGGAUUACCUUCACGUAUGAGCAGGUACUCUAGAGUAAGGGUUUCAUUAUUCAGUGAUGGAACAGAGGUGUGCCCAUAAUAGUAACAUUCCAAAAACCAAAUAGAUGGUUGGUUUUACAUGCAUUGUGCCUUGUGCCGGUACCCUUGUGGCAUGCUGGGCACAGCUGGCUAGUUGGCUCUGUUAGCAGAUGUAAUACAUUUGCAAGAGUUGAGUAUAUGUUGUUUCUCUUUUCCUUGAUCAUAUUCGGAGUUGAAGUAUAUGAAAUAAGAUAAAGGAUUCAGUUUAUUGUAAUGUUAUUAUGUAAUUAUGAACUCUUAUUUAGCAUAUCAGCUGGUAAUUAUGAUAUCUUCUAAGUUAUCCAUUCUUAGUGUUUUUUGGAUACACUUUAAUAUAUGUUCUUCCAUAGUUCUAGGAAUUUUUUUUUAUAGUCUCAUGAAUUAUAUCUAAAUAUCUUUUACUAAUAUCCAGAGUCUCAUGUAUCUCUAUCAUUAUCCUGAUCUGUGGUAUGAUUAUGCUACAUGGCAUGCAAAUAGUGGUUCUGUGGAUUCUGCAAUUAAAAUUUUUCAGCGGGCUUUGAAGGCUGUUCCUGGUAAUCUAUUACUAUCUUUCUCUGCUUAGCAGUUAGUGCGAUCCAGUUGCAUAUUUCCGUCACCUGUCAAAACAGAUACAUACUUAUUACUAACGCCUUUUUUUCUUUGCAUUUUCUUAAGAGCUCAUAGAUGUGGGAAAUACCAAUUAAUUAGUUUUUCUUCUUUGUAGAUAUCAUUUUUAAGCCUUUGAUAAUUUAGUAAGCUUUUUGAGGAGGUUAUCUUUCACAUUUUUAGCCAAGGUUUCAUAUACCGAUCAGAUGGUACAAAGAAUAUACCUCAGUAUCGGUUCAUAUUUACUACUUUUCUAUUUAUUAGAGGUACUGGGUGGUUCUGGUCACUACACCUUCCCACACUGGCCCAAAAGGUUAUUGAAACCAAUACUGGGUUGAUCUUUAAAUCCUUCAUUUUGGCAUUGUGAUUUUAAAUAUAGAAUUUAGGGCACUGUAUAAGCACCUAAAUGCUCACAAAAGAUGAUAGUGCACAUAGUAAAUAAUAUAAGAUAUAUGAUAUGGUGUCAUUUGACAAGGGUCCAUUGGGCAUAGUCAUGGAAACUUGUGGAGCCAUAUACUUCAGCAAUAAUAACUUUUACUAACCUAAAUAUUUGGAGUUAGCUACAAACCUUUUCCCUCUAUUGAGCUCUUUGUGAGAUGAUAUCUGUGGUUCGAUCAGGAACAAACAAAUAUCUUUUAUUGCUUAUUAACUUGGGGCAUUAUUGUUUCUUUAUUGUCAUCGCUGUUGUUGUAAGGAUUACAUUUAAUAGAAGUUCCACAUUAAUGUUUCUACCUCAAAAUCAUAAGAAUAACAACUAACUACGUUUAAUUUUUGCAUUCAAAGCUCAAGUGCAAUAACUUUUUGGUUUUGUACAUCUGAAAAUGAAGCAAACCAACAUGGCAGCUCUGUAGAUGCAGUAUCUUUUGGCACCAUUUGAGAGUGCACAGAACAAUAACUAUUUGGGUCAAUAUGUGCAGUAAUAUUGUUCUUGCAAGAAAUAAUGCAUUAGGUAUUGCAAUUUGGAUCCAUGCAAAUCUAGGUAGAUUCAAAUAGAUUUAGGUUGAUUUACAUAGAUCUAAUUUAAAUUUGCACAGAUCUGCUUCGGUGCAUAUGGAUCUAGGUUGGGUCCUUCCAGAGUUAGGCCAGAUCUACAUGGAUUCAUCCUGAAUUUACGAAUACCUAGGCUUGAUUAGUGAGGAUCUAGGCUAGGUUGGUGCAAAUCUAGGCCAGAUCCAUUAGAAUUGUGUCCGAGUUCACCCUUGAACUUGACAAGAAAAAACUAAAAUAUAUGUUUAAAUCCAUGUAAUCAUGACUUCAAAAUGAAAUAAUUGUGAAAAUACAACUUCAUUCAAGAGAAAGUGAUUAAUUUCAAAUUCGAGGUUUGGAUUUACCUGUUAUAAGUGAGAAAUCAGAGGAUUUCUUGAGAAUGAACCUUCAAUUGUUUGAGACUAGCUUCGGAUUUGAGGGAAAUCAAAUUUGGAGAGUCAGAUUGAGAGUGCUUGGUGAAGAAUUGGGGAAAGAAUGGGUUGAAAUUGAGAGAGGAGUAAAGAAAUUAGGGUAGGGCUUUGAAAGGGGCUUAAUGCAACUUUUUUGAAUCAUGAAAUUGGGUAGUAUGCUUAUUGCCGGGUAAGCCGGCUGCAACGGGCAAAGAACGGUAUUCUUGGUUUCAGGACAUACUGGGCAAUAUCACUUGGUCUGCAUAUCAGUUCCUUGUCAGAGCAGUAAAAACCAGACCUUAUUACGUGGUACUGUCGGUUUUGGGUUCCUUGGCCAUAUUAUCUAUCACCCCUUUACGAGGUCCAUAGAACAUUCUAGUAAAUGUAAGUUCAAUAUUUAAUUUGAGUUCAUGAUUUUUUUAGAUUUCAUUGAUUUAUCUAACCUUGAAUAUGAGCAACUCUUCUGAGUUAAAUGGUUCAAGAACGUUAGGUGCCAGGCAUCUAUACCUUCUGAACCAAAACUAAAGAAUAAGGCCAAUUGCUUAAUUUUGUAUGUUUAGGCCUUGGUAAUGGUUAAAUGUUCAAUUAUUUUUUUAGAUCAUCUGUUGCUGGUAACUCUAGUAAGUUGUUUAUAGUAACCAUUUCUGUCAUGUGUACUGGUUGUACUUUAUGUCAUUUCUGCCUUUAGGGCUAUCAAGUUAUGCAGAUUGAUAUUGAUUUGUGAACUUGUUUAAGAAUUUUGGAUUUGUAAGUAUUUUGUUUUCAAAUUUGUUUAUUUGCUGAAAGCUAUAGCCUUUACAUGAAUUAUACUAGAAACACUGGUUUAUAAAGAUGAUUUUAUGCUUUAUAUUGAGGACAUACACAUGGUUUAAUUUAUGUUUUUCUAGAUUCUGAAUUACUGAAAUAUGCAUAUGCGGAACUAGAAGAAUCUCGGGGUGCAAUUCAGGUCAGGAUAUAGUUCUAUUUAAUUGUUUCUCACGAGUUUUACAGUUCAUUGAAGACUGUAUUCUUCCCAUGCAGCCUGCCAAGAAAAUAUACGAGAGUCUUCUUGCUAGCAGUUCUAAUUCAAUGUCUCUAGCUCACAUUCAGGUGAAGUAUCCUCAUUUCUCCUUUUUUUUGCUUGUAUUACAUAAGUCCACUAAUGAUAUUCCAUGUGCAUUUUCAACUUGAUUUUUCCUGUUUCUGUUGCAGUUUAUUCGAUUCUUAAGGAGAACCGAAGGUGUUGAAGCAGCUCGGAAGUACUUCUUGGAUGCUAGAAAAUCACCAAGCUGUACAUAUCAUGUCUUUGUUGCUUAUGCUAUGAUGGUCUUUUGUGUCGACAAGGACCCAAAGGUUUAUGAUAGACAAAUGAUUUUGGUUUUCAUAUCAUUUUGUAGUGCUUCCAAGCUGUGGAUUUUACGCCUUACAUUAAAUCAUGGAGUUAUUGAAACAACUGCAUUUUUGUUUAGUUCAGUUAUGAGCAUAACUUAUUAAUGCUGGCCAAUUGUUAGGUUACCAUGUGCUAUCUUGAUUGAUUAACGACGAUUAGUUGCUAUUCUAUAAAAAGGAAAUUUGACAGGCAAGACGUAAAAGCUUGUGUGGGUGUAUUAGAUAAUAAUAUUUUUCCUAAAACUUUAGCUAUCUUGAUUGAUUAACGACGAUUAGUUGCUAUUCUAUAAAAAGGAAAUUUGACAGGCAAGACGUAAAAGCUUGUGUGGGUGUAUUAGAUAAUAAUAUUUUUCCUAAAACUUUAGCUAUCUUGAUUGAUUAACGACGAUUAGUUGCUAUUCUAUAAAAAGGAAAUUUGACAGGCAAGACGUAAAAGCUUGUGUGGGUGUAUUAGAUAAUAAUAUUUUUCCUAAAACUUUAUAAUCUUCUGGCGCAAAUAGAUUCAAUAGAUUUAGUACAAACUACAUGAAACCUUUCCUCCCUUCUGCACAACAAAGACCCACAACAUCAGAUUCCAACUAUUUGUAUGUGAUAGUUCUUCUGUUAUCUUAAUAAGUCUGUAUUUUGUAGGCUGCACACAACAUCUUUGAAGCUGGAUUAAAGAAAUUCAUGAAUGAACCUGGUUACAUUCUUGAGUAAGUUCUUCCAUUUCUUUGUUCAUGGUAAAUGCAAAAGUUGUUAUUUAUUUAUUCUUUCUCCUCCAAGGGCUUGUAAAAUGUUAAUAAUACUUUUUGAACUGUUUAUAUCUGACCACCCAGUGUGUCCCUAGAAAAACCCUAGGAGAACAGUUGUUACUGGGGAUCUUAGUUUCUCACUUUCUCUUGUGUUUGCUUUCCACGAGUGUUGUUAUCAAUAAAGAACUUUAUUUUAAGGAAACUCCAGGUUAGAUAUUCUCUUUGUGCUAAAAGAAUUAUCUUCCUUUUUUUCAUUGCAAAAUGCUAGCAAGUAAGGCCUUUCUUGUUUCUGCUAAAACAAACAUCAAUAUUAGUACUUUUAUGUCACCAUGAAAUUUGAUUUACAAAUGAAAAAAGAAAGUAGUGCCUUUUUGCAGCCUUACACACUUCAGUAAUUGCAUUAGAGAAUUCUAAAAGUGUGAUGUUUUCUUGCAGAUAUGCAGAUUUUUUAUGUCGUUUAAAUGAUGAUAGAAAUGUACGUGCUCUAUUUGAGCGGGCUUUGAGUUCACUUCCUCCAGAGAAGUCUGUGGAGGUAUUCAGGUUUUUACUUUCAAGAUUUAUCAAAUGAGUCUCAUCUUUGUGCACUUUGAUAGCACCCUGAAAUGUUGUAUGGCUGAUUAUAUUUGGUGAUGUUGAUGUUCUAACAGACAAUAUGAUUGCAACAAGCAUGAGAGUGUUGAUGUUUGGCAGCUAGGAUCUUUAUUUAGUUGCCCUGUGUCUGACUGAUUCCACCAGUUCAAGUAGACUUAUUUUUAUCCAAGCCAUAAGUGUGUUCAGGGUCAUGGUUUGCGCAAUCUUGACCCAUUAGCUGGUUGGCCUAGUUUUGGAUCGGUCCUGUUUUGGUAUCCAACCUGAACAUUCAAGCUGCAUAUUAGACAUUCUUAAUUUUCUCUCAGCAGAGCUGUGGCUGAAAAUUUUUAUUUGGUUUUCAAGAAAGUACACAUGUGCAGUCUCAUGUACUCUUUUACAAUUCUCAAUCCCAAAAGGGUCCUAGUUUCAUCAUACAAGUAUCUGUCUCUAUGGAGUAUUCUUUUUUUUUUUGGCUGUUCUGUGGACUAAAUUUAUGUACCUGAAUCAUAAUGCCAUUGAAUAAGAAACUGAUCCCUGGAACAAUGGUAGUAAAUAGUAUGUUCGCUAACCCAACUUGUAAUCAAACUUGCUUCUAAAUUUUACCUUCUUCAGAGUUCAGAAAUGAAGCAACAAUAACUACUUAUUAGUUAUCAUUAAUUAAUUAAAAUUAUUAUUUAUCCAUAAAUCUUUUUCACUACAGCCUCAAUGCUUGAGUUAAUUCUGAAAAUGAGUCUUUUCACUGUAUUGGACAACUAAUUGUUCUUAUCAUAAAAAAAACUGAGCUGAGUAAGAUUUUCCAUAAUAGUCACCAGCAAUUGGACUAGACAUAAACCUUUCAAUCACUAUGCUUUGUUAAUUUCUCAGUGUUUUACUGGAUCUGGUCCUCUAUCAUUUGCUUGAUACAAUUUAUUGUACUAGUUCUCAUGUAAACUCCUCGUGCAGAUAUGGAUAAGAUUUUGUCAAUUUGAGCAAACAUAUGGAGAUCUGACCAGCAUGUUGAAGGCAUGGCUUCGUUUUUUACAAUUUCUUAUUAAGCAAUACUCGUAUUCCAAUAUGAAUUGAAUUGAUUGCAUCAGGCAUUUUGAAAAUAGUCAAUGCAUUUUCCUGCAAGUAGAACAUGAUAACUGAUAACUCUAUAUGCACCUUAAGUUCUUUCUUAAUGAAGUUUCCAGCUUUGUUCCCUAAUAUUGAGUGACAUGACAAUUAUGCAUAAGGUUAGGUAACAAUGUAUUCUCGAUCCUGAUACUAGAAGCUGAUGGAUCAUAGAGCUGUGAAGAAUUCCAUUAUUGUUUAGAGCAUCUUCUUUCUGGUAAAUGACUAGGGUAUUGUGUUUUAAGUUGCAAGUGACAAAAUGUCUAGUAAAGCUCAGUAGACCUUUGUUUUAUGUAUUUUCUUCAAAAUAUUAUGUUUCACUUAGUGCAUAAACAAUUUAGCUCUUCUUAAUUUUUGUUUUUUUGUAUGCCAAUGGCAUGAUGAAAUUAACAAUUGUGAUUGAUUAUUUGUAAUUAAUUUUCCAAACUUAGGGUGGAAAUUUUGACUCGAUGCAAUUGGACAUGAGAAUGGUCAACUGAUGUUAUAGCUGCAAUGGCAUGAUGAAAUUAACAAUUGUGAUUGAUUAAUUGUAAUUAGUUUUUACCGAACUUAGGGUGGAAAUUUGACUCGAUGCAAUUGGACACAAGAAUGGUCAACUGAUGUUAUAGCUGAUUCUUGUUAAUUAUUAAUGAGGCCGAUGGAGGAUUAAAGUAGUUGAUUUCAGUUAGGUGGGUCUUUAUUGGGUACUAAGAAUAUGGAAUAAUCAUAAAUUGGGCUAGCUUGGAUCAUGUAUAGAUUAAGUUAGAGAAGAAUAGAUUGAUUCUGUGAUAGCAUUAGGAACAUUAGGGUCAGCUAGCUUGAAAUUCAAUCUGAUUGCAUUUGUAAGAGCCAAUAGAAGGUUUAGGUCAAGUCUUACUGGGUCUAGUUGGGCUAUAUCAUGGUAUACUUGUCAAACAUGAAGCACAUCAACUUUGUUUUGAGCUCCAGUGUUGGUUUUAAAGAUGAUGUAUGAAUUUUUGCAAAAAUAUGGAGAAGCAUAUAAAAUAGAGCAGAAAUGCAUUCACUAUAAUGUUUCCAGUAUUAUUUAUAACUAUUUCUUUGCGCACAGUAGGUAUCCUCUGAGGACUUAAAACAUAGUAAAAAUUGUCGCACAUUGUUACUGAUAAUUCUAUAGCAGAAGCCGAUUAGGAAAUACUUUAGAGGCUUUUUAGAUUACAAUCAUUAUUUCAUAAAACAAUUUUAUAAAAAAUGUUUAAUUUCUUGAAAUUGAGUAUGAAUAAUGUUGUGUUCCAACAAAAUUUAGUCUAAUUUGUAAAAUUUUUGCUUGAGUUAAAUUUAUAUUUAACCACACACAAAAGUCAAUUUAUAAUAUAUGUAUUUCCUCACAUUAGUGUGUUUGUUUGGAAUUUUGUGUAUGUAUCUACAUUGGCAAGUACUCAAACUAAAGCUUUUUGUCUCUUAGUGUUAGUUAUUGUUGAAUAUAACUAGUGUCUGCUUUACUGAACCUGGGAGAUGAUAUUCUGAAAAUGCAUCAAGAACUCAGGUGCUUUUUCCAUUAAGGUCAAAGAAAGUUUUUUUGCUUACUGUGCUUUUGUGUCUGGUAUUUUUAAUUUCACUCUUGCAACAUUCAUAGGUUCCCUAGAUGCAAGGGAUCUGAAUAAAAGGGAGUUUGCUAGAUCUGACCCAAAGAACUUAGAAUAUAGAAAACAUGAACCAAAAAUGUCCAUCUGUGAAUAAAUCUUGGUAUAUUAAACUGUAUUCUUGUUAUUAGAUUUCUUGUUUACUUAAGGGCUAUAAUAUUUCUCUUUGAUUUUUUUUUUCUGGUGUCUUUUUCAUCUAGAAGCUCGAUUCAUCUCUCAUUUCAUAGAUCUGGAGCUUCAUACAUAUAUGAGUUAGCAGAGAGAGCAAUUGCUCAACCAUCACUCUAUAUUUGGCUUGAGUAGGAUAUUUUACCUUCCUGUAACGAAAAUUUGUGGAUUUAGGCUUUGUGACUUGUUCUGUUAAUACAGGUUGAACAAAGAAAGAAGGAAGCUUUAACUAGAUCAGUUGAGGAAGGUUCCACAGUAUUGGAGAAUACUUUAUAUGAUGUCAUCUCACGUUAUAGCUUCAUGGAUCUUUGGCCAUGUUCGCCAAAAGAUCUGGAUCAUUUGGCAAGACAGGAGGUAAUCAUGUUGUUGGUUUUACUUGUAUAACAAUUAUGCAUUAUGUAGUCAGCGAGCAUUGUGUUUUGCUUUAAGAUUCUUAAAAAUCACAUCUAUAUACCAAAAUAUAUCAUCAUUGUUGAUUGAAAUUGGAAUCUUUUGAUUAUUUUCUUUUUAUAUUCAGUCACUUUAUUUCCUUUUUUGCUAAAUUUAGGUAGCAUAAUGUAUAACAACAAAGCUGUAAAUAUUCCAAUUAUUUGGUGUCGGCUACAUCGAUAUUUUACCCAUGAGCUAUGUAAAAAGCCACAUUCUUAGUUAAACGAAGGGAAUUUAAAUAUUUAUUUAUAGUCUCCAAUGAAAUCUUUUUAUACCCUCUCCCUCUCCUUAUACACUUUUAGUAAUUGUUUCAAUUCUUCUAACUACGUCAUCUAUUUAUCUCUUUAACACUUGUGUAUGCCAUGUUAAACCAUUAUCCCACAUUUUAUCUUGUAUCUAAGUUACACCUCUUUGUUUACAAAUGAAAAUACUCUAUACAUCCAUCUCAACAUUUUCAUUUCAUUAAUGCAAACCUUUUUAUGUAUUUAGGUAGUAGUGUAACUAUUCAAAAUAUGAAAUGCAUCAUUAUAGAGACUUGGAGCUUAUUUGUAUAUCAAAAGGAUACAGAUAAUAAAAUCCUUUGAUUAAUGAACUUAUCCACAUGAUUUACCAUUGUUUAUUUCCUCCAAGAUCCUUGGAUGCAAAACCGGUUGAGAAUUAGAGAGGAAAUUGUUAAAGAUUUCUCAAACACCCAAUUAUUUAACUUCAAGUGCAUUGACUAAUGGGAUUCAGUUAAAAUUGGAGGUGUCAUGAUAGGGAGAUGACCAAAAAGAACUUGGUGAAAUACCAAGAGAAAGCUUAUGUAUCCAUGAUGAUCCUAGGAUUUGCCGCUAAUUGAGCUAAAUAUCAAAAGUAUCUUAGUAGAUGACCUUGGUUAAAUAGGGCUGGAGUCUUGGUUUUGCUCGAUUCCUUGAAUGUAGUUUGUACAAGCAGUACAACAAGAAAGAAAAAACGAUAAUGUACCAAAUAUCUGAGAUUGCCUACAGACAACCUUUCCACUGUUGAGGCUAAGCAAUAUGCCAAUGAAAUCAAGGGUAUUCAAUUAUCCUUCUGUUGUUCUUAUUAAGCUUUCUUAAUUCUCACGCUCUCUUCUCAUGCCACUAAUUAUAGUCAACUUGUCUUAGCACAAUGUCUAUUUAUCUUCUUUCAUUAUGUUCAUGCUAUUUUAUAUUAUGUUUUCUCACUUUAUUAGUUAUAGGGGCUAAGCCUAAUUCUUCACAAAUGAAAUUAUCUUUUACUUAUCUUUUUUAGUAACUGCAAACAUCCAUCAUAGCAUUCUCAUUUUGGCUACAGUAACUUUUGGAACAUGUUAUUUCUUAUCUAUCCAAUGUUUUUGAUCAAUAAAGCAUGAUUGGUUUUACAACAUGUACAAUGCUAUAUUUUCUAUUAUGUAGAAGAAGUAUGAAAUUAAAUUAUUUCUUGAUGUGAUAAUAUUGUGAACUUAUGACUUUCUGUUGACAGAUUAUUACAGAAUGUAGUGAAUGUUUCUACUGACAAAUAAUACAUCCAUAUUCUCAAUUUAGUCGAUUUGAUGUGAGAUACAUGACAGUCAAAUAUUUAUGCAUUAGUUGAGAAGCAAAUUUCUUGUUUUUCCUUGCUAGGAAGAAUGUGUAAGAGGUUUAUUUGAGCAUAGUUUUAACUUUUAAGUGCUUUUUACAUAAUGAUUAUUUUCAAAUUAAUCUUAGUAGGUUUUUCUUCUAUUUAUUUUUGUGUGCCCUUUAUCAUGCCAACAGUGUGAUGUUUCUUUAACAAUUUCAUGUUACUUUCAGUGGCUUGUAAAAAACAUCAACAGAAAGGUUGACAAGUCAAAUCUACUACAUGGAGCUAAUAUCACCGGUAUCAAUUAUUUGUCAUUCUGCAAAAAAGUUCCCAUUCAUAAUAAUUUGAUAAUUAUAAAGUUAUCAUUAUGUUAUGGUGCAGAGAAAGGUUCUGUUGGAUUAACAACAAAUUCCAAGGUUUUGCUGCCUUCUGCAAAGGUUGUUUAUCCGGAUACUGCCAGAAUGGUUAUAUAUGAUCCAAGGCAAACUUUAGGUAAAAGUCUUUGAUAUUGACAGUUCUUUUAACAGAAAGGGUGCAAAUCUAUGUAGUUGAAUUGGGCAUCCAAUGAUUCCCAUAUAAAUAUGGAUUUCUUUUUUCACACCUUUCUGUUACCAACUUCUUCAUCUUUAAGUCCUUUGUCAAUAUGUUCUAACCGUCACAAAAGGCAUAGCAAACUAGGGCUUAUCUUUGCAAGAAGAUUGGUGAGAUAAAUGAGUCUAUGGAGUCAUUGCUUGUUGGGGUUUGCCUUGAGCUUCUCUGACCACUGUAAGCUGGAUCAACCAAUCUGAGUCAGUGCCCGCAGCAGCUGUCCUGAUUUCUGCCUGUAUCUUGGCUAAACCAUGAAAUCACCAUUAAAAUUGUCAAAAAUGACCAAAAGAGCAGGAAGAGGAUAUGCACUGGAAGAGUUUGGAACUAUUAAGUAGGCAAGGCUCAAAAUGUCAUUGAGUUUCUUUUAUAAAAGAAAUGUAUAAUAAGAUAACAUUAUGUCCAAAAUCUACCCUGACUUUUUUGCCCAGCUCAGUCAAUCAUGAUUCUUGUUGCUCAUCCAGUCCCACACAAGCUGAUGUUUGGGUAAAUGCUGAAGGAUAAAUUGGUAUAUAAAAAAUUCACUUAUGUAAUAUGUAUAGCAAUUAAUUGAAGAUGUGGACCAUAAUAUAAAUUAAGAAUACAAUAUAACAGAAAUAGUUUUAUAUUACUUAUGUAUGUCUGAUUUAUUGGUAUCCAUUAUCCUAGUAAAUUGUUAUACAGAACUCAUCUUUAGUAAAUUAUCAAGCAUUAAAUACUUAUAAAAACAAGUAUACGUUUUAUAUGUUUAUUUGUAUACAUAAAAUUAUUCUUAAUAAGAGUUUAACUUGUUGUUGAAGGAAAUAUUUCCAUAAAUUUUAUAAAACAUGUAAGAAUGAACCUUUUGUAUAGAAACUUCCAUCCCUUCUUAUAUUUAUAUUUUUUAUGUAUUUCUUUAUGUUAUAAAAUAAUUUUAUAAAAGGGCAACUUUCAUAUCUUUCUUAAAUUUUAAUUAUCUUUUGAGUCAUAUGGUUUUUGUUCUUAAUUACUUUUCAGCCAAUCCCAUCUAUAUUCUAACUCUGCAAGCUUUGCAUUAAGCACCUUCGUUUGUUUGCUUUUUGAUCGUAUGUAUUAGUGGAUACCACUCUUGAAGAGACUAACCUUUACAGGGCUUUGGCUCCCACAACUACAAGAGGCAUGGAAAAUAUUCCUACUAAAUCAACAGCCAACUAUCAUCUUGGUUUUGUUAACUAAAGUUUAAAUUUUGAAUUCUUUAUGGCAAUAUACAUGGAAUGAAAAAAUUAACAUUCUAGUUAUACUUCACCAAGUUGUAAUGAACAUGCUAUGUGCUAAUUAUACAACAAUAACAAAGUCAUAAAGUCUCAAUUAUUUGGGAUCAACUACAUAGAUUUCUUGUCACCAUUGAGAUUUGUAAAAAGACAUCUUAGUUAAAUUAAGAAUAUUUAAAUCAUUAUUUAAAUUAAGAGUUUUUUAGGUCUUUCUCCAUUUGUCCUUGUACAACUAACAAUAAUCAUUUUACCUCUUUUAACAUAUAUGAAUUUUUUGAGUACAUGUCUAUGUCAUCUUAAACGUUUUUUUCCUCAUUUUAUCUUUCAUCGAAGUGAUACCUAAUUGUUCAUGGGUAAAAAUAUUUUUUUCCUAUCUUUCCUAAUAACUUUAGACGCCACCUCAACAUUCUCAUCUCAACGAUGUAGACAUUUUGUAUAUGAUUUUUUAACUGUGCAACACUUGGAUUCAUAAAGCAUUGCCGAUUUAACAAUUGUCUUUGAUUAAUUGUUCAGCUUUCUUAUAUCUUCAUCUCAUUGAACAAUUGAUCCAACGUACUAAAGCUUUUUAUUUAAUGAAACUUCUUGUCUAUUUAACUUUAACUAUAUCCUGGUACUCUUCUUAGCAUUACUAAAUUGCAUGUCAUAUACGACUUAAUCUAAAGCCUUUAAUUUAUAAUAAUUCCCUUGAUAACUCAAAGUUUAAAAUUAAUUCUCUUUAGACUCUCAUCAACUAUGACAACGGCACAUGUUAUGUGCUAAUUAUAGAACAUUGCAAAAGAUUAUGUUUGUGUGACAUCAAGGUUUAAAAUCUUGGUCCGGUGCUGAUAUUGGUUAGCUAUUGGACCAAUGGUACCUUUGCAAUACUGACAUACAAAGACUCGCUAUGGGUCAGUACAACCCAGACUAAGAGAAAAGAGAGAAGGGAGGAGGAAACAAGAGAGGAGCAGAGGAUGAAGGCAGCGGGAGGAGAAGAGAGAGUUGCAGAGGGAAGUGAUGUAUGUCGAAGGAGGUGGUGGCAACAGAAACAUGAGGAAGGGGUAGUGACAGGAGCAGGCACAUGAUGAGGUGGAUGAGGCGGAUGCUGAGAUAGCAGUGAUGGUUGUGGAUGGUGGUGGGGGGGUUCAGUGGUGGUUGUUUCUGCAGCGGAGAUAAAGAGGCAAAGGUUAUCUACAGUUUUCAGCAAACAGUUCUUUGCAACCAGUUCUGCUUUAAAAAUUAUUUUAAAAAUUAAUACAUCUAGCACAUAUGUGAGUAUCAGUCAUGUUUCGAUGGAUACAUGAAUAGUGUAAUGUCUAGUAUGCCCUGUUUCCAACCAUAUUGGGGUAAUCACCCAGUCCAUGUGCCUUCCCCUUGUCAUAUCAAAAUGUACCAGAUACUAUGCCCAGUAUUUAGAACAUUGUGGUAUAUUAUAAAUUUUUUUCUUAAUAUUGGUCCAUUUUGUGCAUGAAUAAAGGUAUUAAAUGCUGGUUUUGAGAACCAUGAGAUUGGUGAGAAUUAAUCUCCAAUUUUGAUGUUCUAAAUUAUGUACGAUGGUGAUCUAGGAUGUAAAAAUAUUAUGAAACACGAUGAGGAAUCUAUAUAUUGUUGUUGACGGGGGGUAGGAGUGAAGGACCAAGUAACUAUUCGACUACAAGUAACACUUCAGUUUUCUUUUUCUAUUUUUAUAUCAAGUACCUUGCAGAUGUAGUAUGAUAGUUGGAUUUCCAAUUCAGACAGAAGCAUGUGAUUUCUGUAAAGGCAUGUCACGCUCCAUUUUCAAAUGCCACAGGAUCUGAAGCUGCUUCCACAUCUGCAUCUGGUUCAAGUCUCGUCGGUAGUGGUCUAAAAGCAUUUGAUGACAUCCUGAAAGUAAUUUCACCUACCUUAAUGGCUUUCAUCACAAACAUGCCUGCUGUUGAAGGUACCAUUACUUUAUCAAUUAACCAGCUUAUCUAGAUUAUUUGUUUGUGACAUAUCAAGUCAUUUUUUCUUCAAGUUAGCUGUAUUCUGCUUUGUUACAAACAAUGAAGAUCACUGUGUCAUUGGUAGAGACACCACCAUGGUUGAAUAAUCAAUGACCUUCCAGCUAUGGAUGAUUAAUCUUUGGAAUGGGUAUUUGUCCUGUCUUCCCUGAAUUAUUGUAUCUCCACACCAAUAAAUCAUAUAUUUGAUAAUUACUAUAUGUUAAGAUGUCCUGAAGCAUUAUGUUCCUGCAUAUCCAGAGGAAGCAAUUUCUUGUUCUAAAUUGUGGGGAAAAUUUUGAUGCUAAUGUUUUAAACUUUUUUUUUAUGUGUGCUGCAUUCACUCUGUUAUCCACAAUAUUAGUCAAAUAUAUUAUAUAUAGUUUAGCCCUUUUCUCAUGGUUGUUGAUACUUGAGAUGCUCAAAACAUUGUUUUUGUUCUGGUCUUCUCAUGCGUAUGUUGACACAUGCCUACACAUUCACACCCUUAUCAUGCCAGGCUUGAAAAAUAUACUGUCAAAGAUAUGUUUGGGAAUUCAUAUUCACAAAGUAUCCAUCUGAAAUAUGAUUCGAUUGAAUUGAAAUGGAUUGAAUCCCUCCUACUAAAGGGUCACAAUAACUUUAGGUUAUCUUCUGCAUUUUGGAAUGUUCAUGAGCAUUAAGAUCCCUACUAUUAGGUGUCAGCUACAUGGAACUUGUCAAGUCAUUAAGGAAUACUGAGGGUAAUAUUACUAGUCAAACAAAAAGUUAUCAAAUGUCUUUGAUGCCUCAAAUAAAAUUUUCGUAGACCUUUUCUCCUUUUCAGCACCAUUCUAAAUUACCUCAACAAUAAUAACCAAUGCAUAAAUAUUCUUUAUAUAUGUUUGACCAUCUUAAAUGGUUUUUCCUUGUUUUGUAUUCAAUUGAAACUACCGUAUUUUUCCUAGAUGUAUUUAUCUCUUCUAUCUGUUCUUGCCGCCCACACAACCUUUGGGUUUUUCGUAUGAACACUAGUUUUCGACUUUUAGAUCUUUUAGUUGCCCCCCGCACAAUAUACAGCGUACUCAAAUGAACACUAGUUUUUUGUGCUAAGUAUUGUUCAUUAGCAAUAAUGAGUGGGAAAUUGAUUAGGAUAUCAGUUUGAUGUUAUUGUGGGAGUGAAUAUGAUCAGAUCUUUGCUGAUUGGUUUUCUUGACUUUUUCCAUUGAAGACCAGAUCUCAUGUUUGGGGGAGAGAGAGAGGGGGGCAGAAAGAGUGAGAGAGAGAGAGAUGGGUUUAUUUAUUUAGAAGGGUUAUCCUUGCUCGUAUCUCUCUCUCUCUCUCUAUUUCCCUGCCUCUCUCCCUCGUGCUGCUGGCCAUCCGCAUGGUGCUCCAUGCAGUAUUCCUCUCCUUGAUGGCCGCUGCUGCCGCCUCCUCCCAUCUUCCUCCCCAUCUCUCCCACCUUUUCUUUUGGACCUAGUACAUACUACCGUACCAUGUGUUGGUACAUCAGCAAAGGCAUGCACGUGUUUGGUAUCUGAAAUGGCAAACCUUGAUGUGAAAAGCAAUGUGAUUUAAUUUUGUGUACAUGUAGAUCAACUUAUCCAGGAGAUAAAGAGUCCCAAAAUUGCUCUUCCUGAAGUAAUCAUGAAGAUGCUGAAGUUCAUGAAUCCACAAUCUUGCUUUUGCAACAAUCAGAUUCCUCUUUUGUAGAAACUAUUUGAACUUGGUAGCAAAUAAACUCUGUUUAUUUUUGACAGCCUUCACAAUGUAUCAUAUGCCAUUAAAUUUUUUUAUUGUAUGACACAAUUUUGUACGAAUGAUAUCUUUAGUAUAUCCGUUUCUGAUGUCUGCUAGUAUCUGAACCCUUACAGUCUUACUCAUGAUUGCAGUUGAAAGUUACAUAUUUUAUUUGUGGUUGCACUAUGUUCUUGUAUCACAUUUUGCUUAAUAACUUGAAUAUUUGUUGGUUAAAGCAAUGUUUUUGGGACAUUUUUGAUGAUUUGACAGGACCAUCUCCAGAUAUAGACGUGGUUUUAUCUAUUUUGCUACAGAGCUCUAUACCAACAGGACAGACUGGAAAACCAGCCACUUCUCUUCAGCAAAUGCCUGGUGGUCCAGGACCUACCACGAGUGACCAUUCGGGCUCUAUCAAGACACGAAUGAACAAUGGACCACCUCACAGGCUUCCUAGAGAUGGACAUUCAGGCAAAAGAAAAGAUCUUGACAGUAUGUACCUUCAGCACGCUGCCUUUUCUUAUAUCUAGCCACCAAGAAAAAUCGACAUUUAUGUGCAUGUGUCUCUUUUGUUCCAUAAGCUCCCUAACAUAGGUUAAUUUAAUGGUUUUGAAAGCUGACCAGUUGAUCAAUCAAAUGCAUCAGUUUUCCUUGUUGAAAUUAAAUCCACUUGUCUAAUUUGUCACGUUAGUGAUAUAUUAUUUAGGGGAGAGGCUUUAUGUACAAAGGUGUUAAGAAUUCUUCCUCUGGUUUUGAGGUAUUGAGCACUUACUAAUUAUAGAUACAGCAGUAGCAGUCUUCUUUAUCCAACUAAGAGUGUGUCCAGCUGGUCCAUUUCUCUGUAUUUGAACUUUUCUGCUUAGGCUGCUGCACCUGUAUCUUAAUCGCAUGUUGAGUUCUUUGUCUGUGACUUUUGUGAGAGCUUCAUAUCCAGUAGCGUCCUCUACUCUGGUCAGUGCAAUUAUGCUCCAGUCAGUUCCAGAAGAGUGGCCUUGAGCAUCCAGUGUUUCAACAUCAUUUGUGAUCGGGACUGAAAAUAACACCCGGUUACUCUCUGAACAAAUUCUCGGUUAGGGUUAGAGAAAUUCUCAUGUGGCAUUUCACUAUUUCUUGACUUGGCCAUAUGCACACGUAGGAUACAUUCUUGACAUAUAGAAUUUAAGUAGCUUCUCUAUCGAUAUGCCUGAUCAAAUUACAGGUUUUGUUGCAUAUAGAAUCAUGUUCAAGUGCCCUUGUGCAUCUAUAUUCCUAACAUGAAUGACAUGCUAUGCCUCCAGGGCAAGAAGAUGAUGAAUCGACGACCGUGCAGAGUCGGCCACUUCCGAGAGAUGUUUUUAGACUCAGACAAAUGCACAGAAGCCGAGGUCGGAGCACUUCGCAGACGGGUUCAGCUGCAUCCGGUGGAAGUGCAUUCUCGGGCGACCAAUCGGUUAGCACUGACUAACAAAAUAUAUUGAACAUGCAGACGUUAUCUUGACACACCUUCAAUUGAGGAAUCGUAAUGGUUUUUCUCUUUCUAUAUAACCCGAAUUAUGUUUCUUUUCUGGACAACUUUUCCUUUUGGCCUGUACGCAUCAAUUCAUGUAUAUAUCGUUGUAAGGUUUGAAAAUGGCUUAUUUGCCAUUACAAUUUUUAAACCUCUACAUGUAGCGCAUUCGUUCAAAAUACUUUUGUGUUUUUUCUUUGGUUACAUACAAAAACUAAUCUUGUAUUCUAUUAGUGAACAAAGAUAUACAUCACCUCUAAAAAUACAUAUGAUAAAAAAAAAAUUUAUCAUACAAAAAAAUGAUGUCAAUUUCUCCAGCAAAAUUCACUUUAUGCCCUAGUUUUUAGAAAUUAUGAAGUAUCUGGGGCAUCCUAUAUAUGGGUGAUACUAUAUCUUUAUCCACCUGGGGUUCAUUAUGGGUUUAGACGAUUUCAUCCUAAAUCAGAUGGGUCUUUGCCUAUUGCUUCUUUUCCAUUGUCAUGUCAUCUUUUUCUUGUUGGCUUUCCACGAUGUUUAAGCGUCUUUUCUUUUUUUUAACAAAGAUAAAGAUGGGGCCAAGAAUUUUAUAAUAAACUGGUUAAAUUUGUAUCACACCUUCAUGUUCUCUUUGCCUUCUCUGUGUAUCUUCUUCCAUUGUCCGUUGUCAUCCUUUCUGUGCUAAGACUAACCAAUAUUAAUAUGUGCAUGAUACAAAAGUUUAGAUGGAAAUAUAUUUUAAGUUCAUAUUUGGAGAAAUAAACACUAAAGUUUAUUUAUGAAAAUAAAAAAAAAAUCACCAGGACAGCUACUCGCUGGCUAGCCAUGCCAUAUGUCGGUUAGGUAUCAUCAGUUUAGCGUUCCACUAAUUCUUCCUAUUAACAGAAUAUUAACAGGUCGACAACCAUCGACAGUAGCAAUACGAGUUAAAUCAUCAUCGACACACCCAUCUUUGGUACAGACAGUCUUACCAUUGCCCGUCUCACCUUACCUGCCUGGUGAUUGGAUUCCUCCAUUGUGAUGCCACGAACGGGCUGUGAGCUCACGGGAAAAGCUAUUGUCUAUCCCUCGACGCUUGGAAUGAUGACGAUGACAUUCUCAGUUGCAUACUGCACAAUAACAAGAAUCCCCCAAAAGAAUACUGAUGAGAGAACAAAAUACGAAUGUUCCACAUUCGUACAUGCAAUAAAAUAGAUGGCACCGUCUCAGUGUAGCAGCUGCUGCUACCCGCAAGAACAGAAAGGGGUCAAAAUGAUCAGAAGAUCCCAAGUCCAUCUGUUCUCAGACAAAAGGAGCAGAGAGAAGAUGCGAAGAGGAUGCCCUACGAUCAGAAAAUAAGGGUGGGUACAACAUAAAGCAUGCUCCCUCAGGGCUGCAAACCCAUGGCUGCAGCUGUACUGGGCUCGUGACCGUGCACCCUGAAGCGAUAGAUGCAGGUCAGAGCAGUGCUCCCAUGGUUGGAGGUGAAGUCGAGCCGAACCGUGUUGACGACGUCGCCGGAGUCCCUCGCCUCUACAUCGAACGUUUGUGCGUUGCUCUUCUCGAGGUCGUAGGAGAACUCAGUUAAGGCAAAAACCUUCUUCACACCACCAGAUGGGUCUUCCUCGGAGGAUUCAAACCAAGCAGAGACCUGGCAAUCUUUGGGGGCACUCGAUCUGUCGUAAGCCACACUCUGCAUACCAUACACGUUCCAAGAAGGGACAUCAGGAGUCGACUCAUGAUGCAUGUUAGUAAUCCAUAUGUGGAGAUGAGCUCCAAGGAGAAGUAGCAAAGCAAAGAACAAGAUAAGGUUUCACUAGAAAUAAUCAUACCACACAAACAUGAGAGGCCAACUAAGAAUUGCAACUUCUAGAAACACAAGAUUUGUUGCUGCGUAAAAGAUAAAAAGCAUGAAGCCCUCCUAAGCAUCAUCCUUGUUCGGAUAUUAGAGGAACAUAUGGUAGAUUUUAGAAAAAAACAAACGAAUGAUGAUGUGCAGGGUUCAACAACAAAAAAAAAAAGGUGAUUUCUUUUAAGUUUGAGAACCUGAAUGAUCAUAUGAAUCCAUGUUCCUUCCAGCUUCUUCAUGAGUGCUUUGUUUAUUGGGAUCCUUGAUCCGCUCAGUUUCCAAGAUCCAACCAUUCAGUCUCAUACUUCUAUUUGAGCCAAGUUUCAGAGGAACUGCUUAAAAGGCUAUGCAGUCAUAUUAUUAGAAACUGCUUAAAAAGAAACACCAACUUUCAGAUUCCUCCUCGCUACUUUAUUCAUGUUAUGUCUAUGUUAUUGUUCUUCCUGAUUGUUUCAGACAAAUUCACAGCUGCUACUGUACCACUCGAUGGCACAGCGAUUAAUGCAAUUUACUGUGAGAAAAUCAAUUGACAUAAAGAUGGCAUCUUUCAUAGUCCUAAAUCAUGUGUAACAAGAAAAAGUUGUAGCUUUGAUCCUCCAACAGUAUUAAUUUAGUUAAGGUUCCUAUAUAAACCAAGUCGUAUCUGAAAAGAUCUUAAAGAUUUCCAAACAACAAUAUUCAUCAUGGAACAAUGUUUAAUCCACCGCUUCUCAUUGGACGCCUGAGACACUUCCAGAAAAGGAAAAUCAAACAGUCUUCUUAAUUUUACCAUAAGAUCACAAUUUUGUAAAAUUUAGAUGACUGUUAUAAUCAAACCUACAAUUAAGCACAGCUGUCUCACAUCCUAGUAAGUUUUGAUUUCCAUAUAAAAUAUGGUAGCUCUUAGCUUGUGCAUUUCAACAAAAUAGAAGUACAUGAUUUGUAAUUAUAAGCAAAAGGAAUCUGAUGUAGGAACCAUGUGUUGCAUUUUUUCAAAUCUAUGUUUAAUUUAUAUAAGCUAUCUCUCUUACCUUGAAAUUAUUUCAAAUAUUUUACCUUUAAGAAAGCUGAUAAGAAAUUUGAAUUUCAAAAUAGUCCUUAUGCAAAAGGUUGACAAGCAACAUAUAGGAAGCGACCUACUCAUUAAAAGAUUUCAAGGUGUCCAGGGCUCCAAGCAAGCAAAUGGGUAACAAGCUGCAUAUAAAUGGCAGUUGUAAUAAGAGAAGCACAAUAUAACCUCAGUCAAAGCAACAUAACUGAAAAUGAAAACAGUUUAAGCGGUUCAUUUUCUUGCAUUGCCUCAUAAUUGACAAAAGGAAUUACAAAAUCAAGGCACUAGAUCCCCAUUCAGGACGUAUAAUUAUUAGUCCCAAGUAAAUCGACAUUAGGUGGUUCCACCUGUACCACUCAUGCUGAUCAUUCUAGGAAAGUGUAGGUUAAACACAACACACCGACAGAUAAAAAAAUAGAUAGAGACGCAUAAUAGAGGCUCAAACAUUUUAUGGCCGUAUGAGAAUCAAUCAUCAUUAAUGUAAAUAGAAAACUAGAAUACAGCAGGAGCAGAAAAAAAAUUACCUUAGAGACAUGCUCCAGCGUGACAGCCUCAGGUAUGAUCCCUGUUCUUAGCUUAAUUUCAACAAAUCCACUGCUUCCUUGAAGAGGAAAACACUGGCCAGGUUCUCCAAAGCUAGGCUCCAGCAUCUUGUUUGCACUAGCAUGAACUCUGUUACGACCUUUAGCAGUUGUGAACCAACCGUUACCUUUGCCAAAACCAUAGGGCUCUGAAUGCCUAACCACCUUGGCCCCACCAGAAGCUAAAGCAUAAUCAACCCUUCCAAGACCAUCAGCUGCAUGCUUUUCUAUCUCUUUCCGAACAAUAUCCCUGGCAAACGUCCUAAUGUGAUCCAAAUCCAAAUUCAUAUUACUAUCGUCUACACCUUUACUGUUUUUUAACUCAGUCAGAAGAGUUUCAAAUUCUUCCCUUGAUAGCAGAUCCUUGUCCUUGAAUUCGCCCAAAGACUUGUCCAAAGAAUCAGUUUUAGUUGCCAACUUCUUCAACUCCUCCUCAAACAAUGUUCCUUUUUUUUCGACUUUCUCCAACAAUUCCUUGGUCAAAAUCCCUAUCUCACUUCCAAUUUUCUUAUCUACUACAUCUAGUUGUACCUGCAACAUCUUAGCAGUCUUCUUUAAAGAUAUCUCAACUUCAGAAAUCCUGCUUUCAUAAUCAAAAGCAGCAAGUGAAGAGUUCGCAUUGUCUCCUAUGCUGAAACUCCAUCUCCAAAUAGUCUGCCCCAACCAUACGAGGACUGCAAGAAGCAAGCAGUUCUUGGUAAGGACACUAAUGACAGUUUGCCACUUGGAUUUCCCAGGUUUUGGUGCUGCUUUCUUGUGCCGUGGGGAUCCUGUGGAUGAAGCAAUCAACCGCUUCUUCAACUGUGAAUAAUCUUUUCUUCUCUCAAUCACAGAUUCUCCCCUUAUCGUAUGGCUUAGAUCCUUCCCAUUAACAAUCCCAUUUAUCGCCCCUUCAGCAAGCCCAUCGGCACUCACCCUCUUCUCCACGACCACCAUCGUUCUCCUCUUUGCAUUCGAUUUUGUGUCUGCAUCUAAACUCAGAGAUGCACCAUUAUUGGUGGCCGGCGAUGCCGCGAUUGCUGCAGCAGUGGAAGCAGACAUCGCCGCGCUUUGGUACUCGCACGAUGAUUCGAAAGGAAAACCCGCCUAUAGCUUAGAAACAACCUAAAACAUUCAAAAGAAGUGACCCAGUCAACCCCCAAUCGUACGAAAGCCAAGCAAACAAAAUCAGAAAAAAAAUCAAGCAGAUGAUCAAAUCGCAAAAUCUAAAGAAUCUCACGUAAGCAAAAGAUACUAUGAAAAAAAGAAGAAUUUUUGACUAAAAUCACAAGAAUACAAAACGGAAAACUAUUGUUUUCCAAAAAAACAAUCAAAUAAAGGGUAGCACGAAGCACUAACAAGAAACCCUAAUCUCCAUAAAACACAGAAAGAAAGAAUAGGUCAAAGAACCAAACAGAUUGUGCUGAAACCCAAAUGACUAUUGAAUUCCACGAAAAGCAGACGAAUCCAGAGCAAGAAUAUGCAACGAAGCGAGAGAGGGAGACCGCUUGAGGUUAAGGCGGAUCUCCAACAGCGGAGGCCAGAAAAAAGAGGAGGAAGAACACGACCGGAGUCGUACAACGGAUCGGAGAUGGGAAUGGAGAGGGAUGUGGGCGGAAAAUUACCUAGAAGGUUCGAUCCGCGUGCGUCGUCUCGUGCACUGCGAGAGGAAGUCUCGUCGAUCGGGCGGGAAAACGACACAGGAAUUGGGGGCGAGAGGAGGAAGGAGAUUGGAAUUAUCUCGGCCCUCCUUUUGGGUUUGGCAGUACCGUUAUUUGGUGAUCGGUCGAAAGAGGGCCGAAUAGAAUCCAAAGAGAGAGAGAGAGAGAGUACUACUACUCGUCUACUUACCCGCUCCGUGAUUGGUGAAUACGGCCGCCUUAAUUGGGUUCCACGGAAAGGUCUCAUCUCGUCUGACGGCAGGUAGCUUCAGUUAUUAACCAUGUACGAGUACGAAAAUGAGAAGCGUUCUUCGGUCAUCACCCACGUAAACGCCAACCCGCCAUGUGGUUGGACAGAAGUGGUGGCCACGCCUGUGGAGCCCACCAUGUGCAAUUCGCUUCCCUACGGCAGAGAUCGAUGGGGAAUCCCGCCGCAUGAGUCGGUCCCACAUAACGACGUCAUCAAUGGGACCCACUUUAAAUGGGGUAACCACUUUCUAAAGGAAAGUAGAUACGCGAAUGAGUGGGUCGCAUUGAUGAGUGGGACCCACUCGUUGGCCACUGGUGGCUACAUGAGUGGGUCCCAAAUUCGGUACCUCGAGUGAGCCGUCCAAGGUCGAAUACCCAAAUUGCUGUUAUUUUAGUCCAAAGACAUGCUCAGCGAACCCGUAUCUACUACCGUCUCAUGGUUGCAGCACAAGUGGGACGCGCGUAUAGGGCCCAGCACUGCCGUAAUGCAGGUGGAUUUGGUGUGCGGGUACAUAUUGGUUUUCUUUUAAUGGAUAAAUCAUGAAUACUAGAUUUAAAAUAUUAUAAUAAAUUAUUAAAAAAAUUACUGAUACCUAUAAAAACAUCAAUCACUACUCUCAAAAUAUUUAUUUAUAUAUUGAUAAUUAUGUAAAUUCUGUGAACAACAUCAUCAAGGAUUUGUGAUUUUGUUAUAAUAACGUAUAACAACAUCUCAUAUUCAUCAUUUAUCAUUUAUUAUACAUAUAUAAUUUUAUUAAGUUUUUUUUAUUUAUUAUACUCACUUAAACAUGGAGACCUUAUCUGACUCAUUUAAACAACACCCUCAAUCAAAUUUGGAGGCCUUAUUUGAAGUACUUUCGAGGAUACUCACACCUCCGAAACCUAUUUUGUUUUAGUGAAGUUUGGGAUGAGUUGAGAUGAGAAAACAAGUACUUGAGUUAUGUUCAUAAUCAGAUGCCUUGAGAAAUAGUUAGUACUGAGUUAUGUUCAUCUCUAACCUACGAGAGAGAGAGAGAGAGAGUCAUCAUUAUCUUUCUCUUUGCUGUCUGUUUGCCUUGAAUAAGCUGUGUGAUGAAGUUAUUUCUUAGCUUACAAGAUGAGGAUGCAAGUGCUGCUGUCUUCUCUUCAAAGAUGCGUUGCACCUUUUCACUACAAAUGGCUCAUGGCACAAGUUUGCCAAGAUAUCUUAAACUAGUUGGUACAUCCAUUAGUUUGAUGCUUUGAGUUUGAGCCAUGCCCUAAGAAUAAAUUGUUCCACCUCUCCUUACAUUUGAUUUUUAUUUCUUUCAUUUUGUUUUUGUUCUUCGUUUUUUUUUUAUUGUUCUACAUAAAUGUCACGAGUAAUUGUUCAAAGAUUAAUUUACAAAUCAAUUUCAUAAAUCUUCAAUAGAGGAAGGAUGAAUCUUAAAAAUAAUUUUAAAAAUUAAAUUUAUAAGAAAAUUACAUUAGCCUUUUUUUCAACCUUGGAUGAUAAUCCCUUAUUCCACUAUGCUUAUACUUUUUUUUAUUGAGGCUUAUAUCUCGAUCUAAGUAUCGAUAAUUAUGUCGUCGAUCAAGAUUUCUCAUGAAAAACUCCAUAUUUUGAUCUGAAUGGAGUCCCAUGUUUUUAUAAUUUAUGCAAAGAACUCUCCAUAUUUUCAGAAUAGUCAGUAAUCAUAUUUAGGUCGAAUAAUAAAAAUAUUAUAAUUCUAUUUAAAAAUACUAUAAUUUAUCAAUGGUCUUUUUCAGUCCCAUUCUUCUACAACAAGAAGAAAACACAUCACAAUUAAUGGGCAUAAAAAUUAUAAGGUCUUAAAGUUAAGUGAAGAAUGAUGAUUUAUCAUAUUAUUAUUUUGACAUAUGCCAAAUACCUACUUAGCUAUCAUCCGAAAUCAUCGAAAAACUUUCAAAUGUAUUUUACGAAACCCGAAACCUAUAAUUAUAUUGAUAAUUAAGGUUGAUUUGAUUAAAUUGGUUAAGACUCGGCAUAAUAUUUUUGAAUAUGAUUAUAAUAAUUCUUAUCCAAUAACAUAAUAACUAGUUUUAUCGGUUCGAUCGAGUUAGUUUUCGAUAGGAAUAUGAAAAAUUAAAAGUGUAUGUUGUCAAUUAGGGCAUUUUGGUGUUGGGAAAAGCAAUGAGCUCGGUGAUCUCAAAAUUAAAGGUGUAUGUUUAUUAUUAUUAUUUAAUGAUAUUGAUUGAUAUAAAUCAAAAUCCUAUUUUUAGGUCUUAAAGAUCAUAAUAAAUGUUAUUUUCCUGAUAAAUACAUCUCAACUAAGUCUUUUUUGUUUCUCCACUUGUGGGAACAGAAAAGCGAUUGGGCAAGUAGUUAAUCCAUCUUGUUCGACAAAAUAACCACAGCAGUGAUCACAACCUUACAUACUUGUCUUCCCUACCCGUCCGUGUUUACCCACUGUGAGCAGGGUUGGUCCACAGGUGGCUCCCGCUGUCCUUGCCUUCACCGGGUAGGUAGCAUCGCUGCUGCGUCAUAAUCACAAUAAUUUCGAGUGAAGAUUACGAUUCCGCUCGUUUUAGUUACACGAGUGUCUACCUGAUCCCAUGGUAAGUCUUUUGUGGACCCCGUCGUGUAUCUCCCAGUCGAAAGAUAGGUGGGUUGAAGUAACGUAAACCGAUAGCGUUAAGAAGAAUCUCACGAUCUCAACGGCCGAUUCUUGGAGCACUCAUCUCAUGACUCAUUCAGUCGGACAUACAGGAGAGAGGUAAAAAAUAAGUCGCACUCGGAGGAGACGCCCACCACGCCAACCACGACUCCCGUCGUCCUCUUCUUGGUUUCCGGUUUGGGGAUUCCUCGCUACAAUCCCUCGAUCCAGCACACGCCCAUCUGUUGUUCCUCCUCCUCCUCCUCCUCUCCGCUGCCGCCGAAGACUUCUCUCGAGCCAGCUCCGCUGCGAGGUACUUCCCAUCCCGCUUGAUGACACCAUUUGUUGAAAUAUUGCUCUCUUUCGUUAUCGCAAUCGGUAGGUUAGAUGUGUGGGGAUUGGGCCGGGGAUGCAGUCGCCGUGAGGAGCCCUCGUGUCGGCUGGUUGAAUGCCCCUCCGUGGUCUUGAUCUUUUGCUGUUUUGCCUGUGAACUUAUUUGAUUUGGUUUUGAGUGUUUUGACGGAGCUGAAGUUUCAAAUUGCUAGAGCAGUAUCAGUUCGUUCGGGGAAUCUUACUUAGGGUUCGAUACCUGAGAGUGAUUACAUAGAAGAAUUGAUUAUGAAUGCUUCUGGACAAUUCUUUAGGUUCUUUGAGCUUCUGGAAUCGAAUGUAAACAGACUUGCAUCAUAAUAAUGCGUCCAAUUCAGGUAUCCUAGGUGCUUAGGAUCAUAUGUGACCUUAAUCGAGUGCGAUGAUCUUCUUAGUUCUAGCUUCUUUGAUUCUGCCUGUCCUUUUCUUUUAAGUUGAUGGCGUCAACACUUUUUUUUGGUCCUUGUUUAUCCUUUUUGGUGGUGUCCGUCACAGUGACUGGACAGAUAAGUCCCAGUGGCCAUGGCCUGUAUAACCGGUGGCCUCACUCUCAUUUUGUGGACAGCUCGAAAGUGAAUUGACUUCACUUCGAGACUGUGUGACACAGAUUGAUUCACUUGCAUCGGGUCCCUUCUCCAACUUAAUACUUUGGAUGAGAGCUUUGUGUGGGUGGGAUGCACUUGGUAUGUGUGUUUGCUGUGCAUGGUAUUGCUUGCCUUUUGCUCUCUCUCUUAUGCAUGUGAAUGUAGAUUGCUUAACCUUGUGAUUCUGCUGUAUUUAUAGGGGACGGAUGGAACGUGUGUUAUAAAAGGUCCCAAGGAAUCUCAUUAUACCAAUUUUGCUUGCUUGGUGUACUGGAGAUCUUUGGUUGCGGCCGUUCUCUUUCUUUCCCAAAGUUAGUUUGCUUUUAAAUUUAGAUUGGAUGUCAAAUAAAAGAACAGCGAGUCCAGCUGUUGUUUGACAACAGUUAUUCUUGUUUCUAUUGCUACACAUUUCUUGGGCCCAGCUCAAAAGAAAGAACUAAAACCAUUUUUUGUUGCGAUAAUUUGAUGACCCUCAUGUCUAAAGACACUUCUUGAGGAGUUAAGUCUGUUCACCAUGGAGAGAGGCCUUAUGCUUCUGAAUCACUUUCUGGUAGGAAAGAUAAUAUUGCUAAUCCUAUCUGUUGAGUAUGAUGACCACUGACCGAUGCCAGAUUUGGCUGGAACUAUUCAGCUAUAGUUGUACUCCCCUAGUGUUGCAGAUGUCUUGUUCGAUAGACUGUAGUAGUUGCAAUAAGUCUGCAACUAGGUUAUCCUGAUCAGGAUUUUGGUUUGUGGAGAUCUGGCUGUUCUGUUCUUCUUUAGUUCCUAUGGUUUCUAAGAUCAUGUUCUAUAACUCUUUGUCUCGCUUCAACAUUUCCCUCUUGUAGGAAUUCACUAACGGGGUACUUGUUUGGCUGCAGAUUUUCCAGAAUCUGGUUAUGGCACUAAAGUUCUACAGGUAUCAGGCAGAGUUACUAGUCAAGAAUUACUUGCUGGCAGAUCCAUACAUUUCAUAUACUUCGGUGCUAGGUGGCAUUUUUCUCUGCAAGAUGGUAAGUACUGCUGCAUGUUCGUGAUAGAAGUACCUUUUGUUUUUGGUUUGAUAAUGAUUCUUAUCAUGAAGAUAAUGUUGCAAAAUUCAUUGAUGAUUCAUAAUUAUCCACUUGGAAUCUGGAAAAGUGGAAACAUGUAUACUAUCUAAUAUCUAUACAUGUUCCACUUGCAUACCUUUAAAUCUAGCUUCUUUUGCUGUAUGAGCACAGUUUAUAGUACAACAUGUAAAAGUGUUCCAAAAUGCCUGAAAAGAGUUGUCAAAAUUCAAGCAAAACUUGAAAUAGUUAAAUUCAAUUAGUACAUGUUUACUACCUUGAAACAUAAGCAAAUCCACGAGUAAAACUUGUGGAAAAUGAUAGCUUUUAAAACAGGUCGUGUCAUGUCAAAAUACUCAAAUGUGCAUGAUAAGUAUUGGAAAAGAGAGAGAGAAAAGUCAUGCUUGCUGAGCCCACUCAAAUACAAAAUUUGGUGGACAGCUUCUUUCUUUAUUUCUACUAAGACAUUAAUGCUUAUCACCAGCUAGGGGGCUUUUAUGUUCUUUUUCACAAACAUUAUAACAGAGAUUAAAUAUGUGAUUUGCUGAAACUGUCUUCAUCCAUUCAAGUUAGUGUCGAGUACUUUUGUUAUUCACUUCUGACUUUGUUGCAAAUCCAUGUCUUUGUUGGCUACAUGGAUCUUUUCCCACUAUUGAGUUCUGUGUAGGGAUCUUUAUAUGUGAUGAUAAAAAUCUGGUGCUUUUUCUUCUUUUUUAUUGGAAUCUAGUGAAGCAUACACAAUUCAUAAUGAUGUCCAUUUGUUCAUUUUACAGGCAUAUGAUUUUACCCAGUUCAUCAGUUCUUUUUACUUCAAGGGUUACAGUUCCCUAACAAAGAUCCAACGGAUUGAUUGGAAUAAUCGGUAUUUUGUAGUUGACUUCUAUGCAGAUCUUUUUUGUUUGUCUCACUGUGAUUAUGAGUAUCAUAUCAAAAUUUACAUGCAGGGGUAUGUCUAGCAUCCAUGCUAUCUUUGUAACAAUAAUGUCAAUUUACUUGGUGUUCUGCUCCGAUCUUUUCUCUGAUAAUACAAUCAACCUACCCAUUACAUUCCGAAGUUCAUCUCUCUCUACAUUUGGGUUGGGGGUAAUAACUUCAAAUUUCAUUAUUUUAUAAGAAUCUGUAUCUAUCUUUUAUUUCAGCCUGAGUAAUCUGCUUGUUGUGAAUUUACUGUCACAUGCAACAGGUCUCUGUUGGGUAUUUUCUUGCAGACCUUGCUAUGAUAGCUUGGUCAUACCCUUCACUCGGUGGAAUGGAGUAUGUAAGUCAUGUUUUAAAUUUUAAAGUGACAUUUUCUCAUUUCACUGAACAUGAUCCUGUCACAUUCAGUUUGAUCAUGAUCUUUUAUUUUUCGGAAAUAUACGCUGCUCAUGUUAGAAACUUUCUGCUAAAUUCUUAUAAUUGCCCCAAUUUUAACCAAAUUUGUAGUGAUAUCUUUGACUUUUCAAGUUCUCCAUAAAUGAUGAAAGCUUUUUCAGGUUCUCCACCAUACACUUUCAGUGAUUGCUGUUGCUUACACCAUGCUGUCUGGGGAAGGUCAGUUUUACACAUAUUUGGUCCUUAUCUCUGAGAUAACUACCCCGGGAAUUAAUUUGCGAUGGUAAAUGUUCCAAAAUCAAUAAAAAAUUGCCUGUAACAUAUUUGGAAGUCCUAAUUUCUAAUUCUUAAGCUUCCUGCUUUGUCAAGGUUUCUUGACACUGCAGGAAUGAAGAGGUCUCAAGCCUAUGUUGUGAAUGGCGCCAUGGUGUUCUUGGCAUGGCUGGUAAGUGGGAAGUCUGACUUGAUCUGCUACACUAAAUCAUUAACAAUUUUUUUUUUAGUUUUAAACCCAAAAGCAAUCCUUUCUUGAUUUAUAGCUAGUUUUUGUUACAUGACCUAAUGGCAGUACCUGUUGCUUUUUCUUAAAGCCAUCUCGUCACUGAUUCCAGAUUAUGCAGCCACUAUGGGAUGUGUUUUCCCAUUUAAUAUGAAGUACCAUUUAGAUUAGAUAUUGUUACUAUUAACAUGCAGUGCUUAUGUACUCAUUCUGUAACCAUGGGACCAUAACUGUUAUAUGAAUUAUGAACAUGCUUUAACAAUUAUGUGCUUCUUCUUAUCACUUUCAUGAAGCAUCACAAAUUUAGAUGAAAUAACAAAAUUUAAACUAAAAAACACAUUACAGAUAGAGAGCUAUCUAAUUCCUAAUACCUAUGCUAAGGAACAUAUAUAAUAAGUAAAACAAGGGAAAAGAUUAUAGCAGAACCAAGAGGUGCAAUUAUGUCCCAAGGUGCAUUAGAUUCUGGGAACAGGUGUGAGGCAAAGCAUGCACCUUAAGGAGACAAGGAGCACUUAGUGUUGCUCAUUUAUGAAAAAAAGAUUUUGGGCUUAAAUUGCUAUCAGACACUGUAAAUGAUGUUGAACAUAAACAAGGAUCUAAUGCGAUGCAGUGUUGGUACUACACCAUCAGGGAAACUGUUAAAAUAUAAAUAACCAUAAUGACACUGACGAAUUGUUUUUGUUCACCAAAUGCUGCAUCACCUUGUACGUACUACCUCAUUCCAAAACUCAGACAUCAGGAGUCUGCCAAAACAAAUAUUUACACAGUUUUAUUUUAGCUGCAUAACACAUUUCUUUUAAUUUUCAUGUGAAUCUUUUUCUUUUCUUCAUGAUGUGAUCUUGCAUUCUCAGUCCAUUAAGUCGUUAUGUCAUGUCUAUGUAACCUUGAUGACAGUUCAUCUUUUCUUUGUCAUAGGUUGCAAGGAUUUUAUUGUUCAUCUACUUGUUUUACCACAUUUUUCUGCAUUAUGAUCAGGUAUGUGUUUUUUUGCUUUUAUUGACUUAAAUUUGGUGUAGCUUGAUUUUUUUUGUUUUAAACCUCUGGCAGGUCAGGCAAAUGCGUAGCUUUGGCUACCUCCUAAUUUUUGUGGUACCAUCAGCACUGGCCAUCAUGAACAUAAUAUGGUUUGGGAAAAUUUUAAAAGGGCUGAGGAAAGCCUUGAGCAAGGGAAAAUAGAUGAUGUAUCAGGUGUUUUCUUUUUUCCUGUAUAAAUUCUUGUUUUUCUUAGUUAGUUCCUUUUUAUUGAAACUAAGAGGACGUGAAACUUAAAAGAACAAAUCGCCGAAGCUAAUGAUCAGAAAGAUAUGAUGUCAAAAAGUCCAGUUAUCCUUUUUUAAAAAAAUAUUUAUUUUUAUGUAUCUAUUGUAUUUUCUUUUGAUAUGGACAUAGACCUGGCUUCACGUCUCUGUUAGUAAAAAUCUAGUGAACAUAUGGAUUGCUGACUCCAAAAUUUAUAUAAGAAACAACUGAUGCAAUUUAAUUCAUUCGACUGUGACACAUUAAUACUAUUUGAGUUUAUUGUAGUAUUAUGUAAAAGAGAUCGAUGUAUUUUGCUUUAUGUACCCCUGCUGCGGUAUGAUAUUUUGAUGUUUUUAUCCACCCUAGUAUAUGGAUUUGAUAUUUCUUCCCUUGUCAUAUUGAACGCAUAAGCAUACCAACUCUUCUCUUGGUAAAGAUUAAUGGCAUAAAUUAGAGACUGGUGUAUGUUUAGCUUCCUAAAUUUUUCACAGCUGCCCAUGUUGAUCAGCGUUGAAAUUGUCUGAUUUACUCUUAUUGUAAGUGUUACUUCUUGUUCUUAGACUUGGCUGAUACUGUAGUCUACCACUUUAUUUAUCAUGAUGCCUUCUAUCUGAGAAUGUUUAAUUUUAAACCCUAAUGAUAUGAUUUUAUAUAUUUUUUCUUAAAUUUUCAGAUUAAAGGUUUUUCGAACUCCCAAUUGUUUGUAGUUAGUGGUUACUUUUACCCCUUAUUAUCGUGUCUACACAUCAUUUGUUAAGCGGCUUGAUCAACGAGAUAUAUAUAUAUAUAUAUAUAUAUAUAUAUAUAUAUAUAUAUAUAUAUAUAUAUAUAUAUAUAUAUAUAUAUAUAUAUAAGAGAGAGAGAGAGAGAGAGAGAGAGAGAGAGAGAGAAAUGAUGUGGUCGACAUAUCGACCACUUACGUUGAUGUGGCGACACCUCAGUUGAAGGACAUAUCAACUAGCUACCCAUCAUGAUUGCCACUUGGACUUGAAACGGUCGAUGAGUUAAUGAGGCCUGCUAAGUACACUAGAUGAGUGCCACGCGGAUGAAACCCAACAAUCUCGGGUUCGACACAAGAUGAAGAUGGUGAUAGUUAUGGUUAUACUCCACGCCUUCCAUUAUUGUACGAACUAUGUAAUUGAGCGGAUGUAAUGAUUGCAAAUGACCACCAUUAUAAAAAGGAGCCCCCAAGUAUAUUUUGACACAUUGAUCCUUAUUAUCCAGCCUGUCCGAUUAGAAUUUUAGAGGGGCAUUUGUUGGGCAUCCUUUGAUGCAGUUUUGUAGGGUUUGGACAUUAUGACUCGAUAAGGUUUCCGCUUGAGGUUAGCUAGGAGAAGGAUCAGGUUAGAUCCGAUUCGGCCUCUAAGUUUGAUAACCAAAAUCUACUCUAACAAAUUAGCAGUAGGAGGGCAAAUCAUAUCUCAAGAAAACUUCACAAGGUCAAGUUGGCCAAACCUCGAGGAGUUAGAAUCCUCCCAUACAUAUGAUAUGAUGUAUAUGAAUUUUAUAUAUGAUGUUAAUGUAUAUGAAUAAGAUGAUUAUCAUGAGAUAGUUCUAAGCAUAUUAUGUUAAUGUAUGCAUUGUAUAAGAAUAUAUUUAUAUAAAUUGAAUUGAAAUUGAUUGAAAUACAUAAAUCUAUAUCAUAAUGUGCGGUAUAACAGUACACAUAUGUUAUCACAUUCAUACGAGAGUGCAUGUACAUAUUAUAACAUGCGAUAUGAUUACGUGCGAUGUGAGAAUGCAUGGAUAUGAUAUAAUGCGUGAUACACGUAUAUAUUAUGACAUACAUGUAUAUAUCAUGAUGUGCGAUACGAGAAUAUUUGUAUAUGUUAUAAUAUGUGAUGCUAAAGUUCAUGAACGAAUUAUGAUUCCUCAUUACUUACACUAUGAAUUUACUUAAAUGGGAGCGUUAUGAUUUAUUUGAAAGCAAAAUUUUACCUAAUUCUUAUGUAUCUAUCAUAUUAUGAUACAUAUGUCAUAAAAAGUUUUAUUCAUUUGUAUACAUGACGUAUGGGAGUGCAUGUAUCUAUUAUUAAAUAUAAUAUAAAAGUUAUUAUGAUUUUCUAUAUCAUAUUUUAUAAACUAUUCUUAUAUAUGUGUAUUCUAAUUUACUUUAAAUCAAAAGUUUACUUUUUAUUAUAUAUUGAUCAUAUUAUGAAAUACUUUAUGCAUUUAUAUAUUGGACGUACGGUGUGAGAAUACACGUACCGAUAUGUGAUAUAGAAGGUCAUGGACAAAUAAUAAUUGCAUAUUACAUGUGCUAUGACCUACUCAUUAUGACUUAUUUUAAAAUAAAGUUCUGCCUCUUGAUUAUGCAUCCUUCGUGUUGCAAGGUUAUUGGCUAUAAAGAAAGUGCGUUCAUAAUGAAAUAUUUAAUGCAUGCAACUUUAAAAUGUUACAAAUAUGAUAUGAUAUAUUUUCACCCUAAUAUAUUAAAUUAAAAUUUUAUAUUUAUUGAGUUAUCACUCAUUUUAGAUCCUAUUUUAUAGGUAAAUACACUAGUAGUUCAUUAGUAUGGUGUCUUUGGGAGGUGGAAAGAUGUAUAGUCAUGCUAGGGUAGAUAUAGGUCGUUUGUCUUUGAGAGGUGGAAAGAUGUAUAGUCAUGCUAGGGUAGAUAUAAAUGACGACCUGUGGAUAUAUUUGGUAUAUGUAAAUUUUAGACUUGAUAUGCAUGUGUAGUGGUUUAAGUUUAUGUGUUUACAAUAAUAUCCUGUAGGGAAAUAUAGGGGUGACAUCAUAUGCGUAGCGAAAGAACAUAAAAUAAAAAUCCUAAAUUUCCCAAAAGGUAUUAAUCGUCGUGCAAAAAUUGAUACGUAAAAACCCAUGAAAUUGAAAACCAAGUGUGAGAUAGUUAUGUUACCUAGGGAGAUCGUAUAUCCCUGAAUUCUUGUAGAUCUGUGGGAGAGGAUGAAUGAGGUCAAGCGUCAUUCUCUCUAGCGGUGAUCUACACGACAAGGGCUGCGAAGAUGCUCCUCAAAUCACUACCCAAAUCUCCACACCUAUUGGUUGAGGAGAAGAAGGGAAGAGGAGAAUGAGAGGUGGUAACCAAAAACCAUAACCUAUGAUCUUUUGUCUCUCUCUUAUUUAUAGAGGCCCAUUGUCAACUUAACCUUAAUGAAUCCUACCCUAUUGGGUAUUGGAUCUCUAUCCAAUUACCCAAGCUUAUUAGAUUAGUGAGUUUCUAUCCAAUAAUUUCUUAUUAGCUCUUAUUGGAUCUCAUCUAUAUGAUCCAAUAAUUCAUGGGCUUAAUGGAUAUUCAAUAAGAUAAGGGUUCCAACGGAUACCUCAUAUCCGAACAUCUACUCAUCGCAAUACCUACCAUAUGUGUGUGACCCUCUAGGCCCAAUAUCGAGCUAUCCAUGAGUCAUAUAUGUCAGAACUCCUUUUAGCUCAGUGAAUUAUUAUCUCCAUAAUAAUUCACUCGAUUCAUCAACUACGGACGUACUAUGCCACUACACCGUAGUCCCUAGACGAUACAUGUGAAUCCAAUCCUUUAGACCUAUCUGUCCUCAGUUAUCAUGUACCUAUAGUUCCUCAUCCAUCUAAUAUCCUAGAGAUUGUAUACCGGGCAUGGUACUGUCAGGCCCAUACGGUUUCUCCUUGAGUCUCGCUUUAAUCGGAUUCUCCCGGAGAACUCUUUUUCUCUCAAUCCAAAUGAUCCUAGCUAGGGAUUUGUUUGAGCAAGAACACAUGAGAUAUUUCUUUCAUGACACUGAGAGUGGAUGAUCAUCUAUUGACACUUAAUAGCCCUCAUAAGGUUGGCUAUCACUCUCGAUGACCGGUUGUGCUAGAUCUGGAACCUCCAGACCUAUAAGUCUGGUAUCAAAGAGUAGAGUACUCAUACAGGACAUCCUUGAUAUCUUAGGUCUAAGGAUUAAAUACACCAUUGAGAUUACAGAAAUCGUUAUUUGAUAAUAUGACAUCAUUAACCAUUCAUCAUUCCGUAGGUGGAUCAAUCAGUGAACUCAUUCUCCAAUGAGCACAUGCACUCUAUCCCCAAUGUCCUCACACAUGCAGCUAUGAGACAAGCUGCUUCCAUCAUAUGUACGGGUAUACAGUACACUAAUCCGUCCGGUUAUCUUGAUGUCCCUCUCGAGCAACCUAUGACCGGGAUUAUUUAGGAUCUAUAUUUAAAGGCAAAUCAGUCUUAUUAUCGUGAUCUCAUCACGAUCAAAUUCUCAUUGCAUAGAUCCAUGGAUAUCACAAUAUAUUCAUGCAACAAGCAAUAUAAAGUGAUAAAAUAUCAAAUAAUAUAAUAAACAAAAAGAAUGCAUAUCAUGUCACAUGUGUCAUCGCUCAUGUGAUUGACUUGUAGGACACCUAUGAUCAGCACAAGGCUCAUCUUCAUUUUUAACGAAGUCAUAAGAUCUGAUCGCCUCAUCAAAUCUUAUGUUCCAACUUCGAUAAGCUUGCUUUAGUCCAUAGAUGGACCUAAGCAACCUACAUACUUUAUUUGGAUUAUCCUUGGACACGAAUCCCUUAGGCUAUAUCAUAUACACCUCAUCGAGGUUGCCGUUGAGGAACACGAUUUUCAUGUUCAUCUAUCAAAUCUCAUAAUCAUAGUGUGCUAUAAUAGCCAAUAGAAUUCAGAUGGAUUUUAACAUGACUACAGAUGAGAAUGUUUCGUUAUAGUCAACGCAUUGCCUUUGACGAUACCCCUUAGUCACUAGCUUUACUUUAUAGGUCUCUACAUUUUCAUCUGCUCUGAUAUUUUUCUUGAAAAUUCAUUUAUAACCAAUGGGUACAGUACCCUUAGGUGUAUGAACUAGGUUCCAAACCCUGUUGGAGUACAUAGAAUCCAUCUCAGAAUUCAUGGCUUCUUACCACUUCUUAGAGUCUAUACUCGUAAUAGUCUCCUCGUAGGUCUGAGUAUCAAUAUCCUUAACAUUCUCUCCUCUGAUAUUUACCAUAUAUCUCUCAAGAGGAUAGGAUACUCUACCAAACCUAUGUAAAGUUGAAACUUAUGUUCUAGGUAACUGAACAAAAUCUAGCUGUGGAAUGGUGCUUGAGCUAGGUUCUCCAACCUCGCUUAACUCUAUCACGCUCCCAUUGUCUCUACCAAGAAUGUAUUACUUCUCAAGGAACACUGUUCUCUUGGCUACAAAGACCUUUUGAUCCUCGGGGUGAUAGAAAUAACACUCAUAAGUUUUCUUAAGGUAUCUCACGAACUUGUACCGCUCCAUCCUAGAUUCCAACUUAUCGGAGUUAUGUCUCUUAAUGUGGGCAGGGCAGCCCCAAAUAUUAACAACCUUAUGAUCAAGCUUCUUUCCUUUUUACAUCUCAUAGACACUACCGACUUAGUUGGAACUCUAUUCAGAAGGUAAGCUACGGACUCUAUGGCGUAUCCUUAAAAUGAGACAGAUAGGUCAGUGAAACUCAUCAUGGACCGCACUAUGUCUAACAAUAUGUGAUUCUUCAUUUCAGAUAGACCAUUGAGUUGAGGUGUAUAAGGAGGUGUCCAUUGGGAUAGAAUCUCCUGGUCAUUGAGGAACUGAGUGAACUAUAUACUCAAGUACUCACAUCUUCGAUCUGAUCGAAGAGUCUUGAUACUCUUUCUAGUUUGAUUCUCAACUUCAUUCUUAUACUCAAUGAAUUUCUCGAAGGCCUCAAACUUGUACUUUAUUGAGUAUAUAUGUUCAUACCUUGAGAAAUCGUUAGUAAAAGUAAUGAAGUAGGAGUAACCACCUAUGACAUGAGUUGACAUGAGACCACAUACAUCACUAUGUAUGAGUUCCAACAUCUUAGUGGCUCUCUUUCUAGUUCUACUAAAUGGAAAGUUGGUUAGUUUUUCACGAAGGCAAGACUCACAAAUUGCAUAUGACUCAUAGUUGAAUGGAUUUAGGUAUCCAUCCUUUAGUAACUUUUGAAUCCUUCCCUCAUAGUUGAAUGGAUCUAGGUAUCCAUCGAUUGCGGACGUAUUAGUUAACUACGUCGUAGUCCCUAGACGAUACAAAGGAAUCCAAUCCUUUGGACCUAUAUAUCAUUAGUUACCAUGUACCUAUAGUUUCUAAUUCAUCUAAUAUCCGAGAGACCGUAUACUGCGCAUGGUGCUGUCAGACCCAUAUGAUUUCUCCUCGAGUCUCGCUCUAUUUAGAUUCUCCCAGAGAAUUCUUUCUCUCUCAAUCCGAAUAACCUUGGCUAAAGAUUUGUCUGAACAAGAACACAUUAGAUAUUCCUCUCAUGAUACUGAGAGUGGAUGAUUCUCUAUCAACACUCAAUAGCUCUCGUAAGGUUGACUACCACUCUCGAUGACUAGUUACACUAGAUUUGGAACUUUCAAAUCUAUAAGUCCGGUAUCAAAGAGUGGAGUACUCAUAUAAGACAUCCUUAGUAUCUUAAGUCUAAAGACCAAGUAUAUCAUUGGGAUGAUGUAAUUCAUGUCUAACAAUGAGGUAUCAUUAACCAUUGAACAUUCUAUGAGCGGAUCAAUCAGUAAACUCAUUCUCUAAUGAGCACAUGCAUUGUAGCCCUAGUGUCCCCACACGAGCAACUAUGAGACCAAUUGCCUCCAUCAUAUGGACGAGUAUAUAGCACUCCGAUUUUCUCGAUGUCCUUUUCGAGUAACCUAUGACCAGGAUUAUUUAGGGUCUACGUUUAAAGAUGAAUUGGUCUUAGUAUCGUGAUCUCAUCACGAUCCGAUUCCUAUUGUAUUGAUAUAUACAUAUCACAAUAUAUUUAUGAAUCAAGCAAUAUAAAGUGAGAAAAUAUCAUAAUAAUAAUAAGCAAAAAAACUAUGUGUCAUAUCACAUGUGUCAUUACUCAUAUGAUUGACUUGUAGGGCAUCUAUGACUAGCAGAUCCUCUAUCUGACACUCAAUAGCUUUCGUAAAAUUGGCUGACACUCCCGAUGACCAGUUGCACUAGAUCUGAAACUUCUAAACUUAUAAGUCCGAUAUCAAAGAGUGGAAUACUCAUACAUCAUUAGUGUCUCAAGUCUAAGGACCAAGUAUACCAUUGAGAUGAUGAAAUCAUUGUUUGACAAUGAGGUAUCAUUAACUAUAUAACUUUCCGUAAGAGAAUCAAUCAAUGAACUUAUUCUCCAAUGAGCACUCGUAUAGUAUUUCUAAUAUCGUUAUAUGAGUAGCUAUGAGACUAACUGCCUCCGUUAUAGUCAAACUUUGUCUCUUAUUAUUACAUGAACUGUGUAUUGAGAUGAAUAUCGUAAAAAAAAAAAAAAAGCACAAAUGUAUAUUUUAGGACAUUGAAUUUUAUUAUCCUACCUGUCUAACUAGUUUAUUGGCUUGAGUUUGCAAAGGAUAUUUCUUAGGAGUUCCUAACAUAAUUUUAUAGUAUAUGGAUAUCGAACCUGAUAAAAUUUUCAUCCGAAGUCGGUUCUAAAAAAGUAUCAGGAUUCGAUUCAAUUUCAAGUCAAAUAAUAAAAACCUACUCUAACAUAUAUAUAUAUAUAUAUAUAUAUAUAUAUAUAUAUAUAUAUAUAUAUAAUUUUCUCAAAAUAAUUGUUAUAAAAUAGUAAAAUAGGAUAAUAGAUCGAAUGUGGGAGAGAUGAGUGAAAAAUGAACAUAAUAGUGUUUUAAUCUAAAAAUACUUCGAUAUUCUUGGAAAAAAAAUUGUAAACAAAGUCCACCAAAUCCCUCUGAUCGGUGACGACCUGAUUUCAUCGACACUGACACAUUGGAUGUCCAUUUAAUGUGAUGACUUCCACAAACUAUACCCCGGACGCACGUAUCUGUAUGCCAAUGGCGUCCUCGUAUCAUUAUAGAGUGUUUGAAAUGUAUUAAUGUUAUUUGCUUUUUGAGCUGUGCGGUGGUGUAUACAUUGCUGGCAUAAAACAUGGACCAGCUAAACCAACUCGGCAUGAGGGUCAAAUCUAUUACUAUUUUUCCGUGGGUGUGCAUGACAAUUCAUCGCACGUCUGCUCCAGUCAAAGAAAUGUGUUCGCAAGCAACGUUUCCUACACCCGCCGCCUACGCAACCUGGCCGUCACAGCAGCGGUGGCACGAGAUAAACUCCAUCCUCUCUUUUGACCUCUCGAUGUCUAGAGCUCGUGGCCGGGGCCCGGGCGCAUCACAUGAUUUGACUUACAGGGCGCAGUGCUUGGGCCACAAGAAAUUUUCUUCUUCUAGGUUUCCAAUUCUUUUAUUGGAUGCUUCUUUGCGUUCACAACAUUAGUCAUCAGAAUGAGAAUUCUCUCGGACUCAGAUUGAUGGAGAUCUCAUGGAAUUUUCGUGAAUUGUGAUGAGAAACAAGUUGCACAAAACCAAAAAUGUAUCUACUGCUAGGUAGAGAAGGAUAUUCACAUUUACUUGUAACCUAAUUUAAUUCCAUAUGUAUUGUAGAAAAGUGGCUUACUCCAUAUAACCAACCUCGCAAACCGUUGAUGUGGUCGAGUAUCCACAAUACAUAUCACAUCUACGUGAGUGCACAUCAAACCGACAAGUCAGCGAGAGACUGACCGUUGAUCUUGUGUUCGACGGUUCUGAUCAUUGCAGAUGAUUGGUAUUCCUUUAUAUAUAUAUAUAUAUAUAUAUAUAUAUAUAUAUAUAUAUAUAUAUCAUUAUAUCACACCAUCACGAAACCCCUACAUAAAUUAUUAGAUUUCGAACAAUAAAAAUGAUAAUACUAGUGAUAACUAUAGAUAUAAUAAUAAUAAUGAUAAUAAUAAUAAUAAAACCGAUGAAAUCUGCUGGUGCAAGAAAACAGCCAUAAGCCCUCGUGGAAUUUACGCCAUUUAAAAUUCCUCCCCAUCCUCCGACAAGGCUGUGCGAUCUCCAAGGGAUCAAAUCACCGCGCGACCGACCCUGAGGAGUAGUGGACGGGCGAAGGCAGAGCCGGAGCUGCGAGGCGAAAAAGACGGCGAGUAUUCCAUCUCCUCGAAACCCCAUCUCUCCUUGUUUCUUUGUUGGUCAUCGGUCUUCCUGAUUCUUGAUUCCAAGAUCGGCUUUACCGCUGGAUCUUGGAUCCAUGCGUCACCUAUUCUCCUCCAUCCUUCUUGGAUCCGGCAUCCGCGCCAUGGUUCUGAAGGAUGAAUCGGGUCUUGGAACAUGGACAUGCUUUUGGGGUGGGUUCUUGCGGUGGUAAUCGCGCUGGAAAUAGCUGGUGAUAGGGGGUUCUUGGCUUUGAAAUGGCAUGCUUUUGCAGUGCGUCUUGGCUUUGGGAGGGGUUGGGUGCCGAGUUUUUCUUGCCGGGAGUUUAAAGUGUGCGCGACUUUUGGUGUUCUUUGUAAUGAUUACCGUGAAAAAGUUAGAUUCAUUGUCUAGGCUGGUUACGUCCUGAUCUUGUGGGGCUGGAGAAUCGAUUCGUGAUGGGAAAUAUAAACAAAGGGGAAAGGGAAGAGAAAAUAAAUAGUUAGGUUGAUUCCUGCUAUUAUAGGCAUAUUAAUAGUUCAUCUGUGUUGACUGUGACACGAAUCGGUUAUUGACUGUGACACGAAUCGGUUAUUGCUGGUAAAGAUUCCUUGUGCUCAAUGGCAUCUUCAUAUUAAGAAGAUUAGGAAGAUAUGAUACUUGUCUAUGAAAUCAAAUGCAGAGGAUGAGUUAUAUGAUGUUUCAGAAGUACUGUUGUUGCUUGCUUGAUGUUGCAAACUUUAUUUGGGCAGCAACAUGAUGGUUCACUAGGUUGGCAGGGGAUUCAAGCUGUAAUUUAAAAAAUAAAAAACAUGCCAACGAAGUAUUUGUAUUUUUUAGGAUUUUGCCAAGUCAUUCCAGUUUUCCUUGUAAAAUCAUAAAAGGAAACAGAAACUUGUAGUAUGACAAUGAAUGCAGAAAUAGUUGCAAGUAAUUUAAGUAGCUUAAGAGGUAUCUUGUCGAAUCCAACAACUUCCUCUGAACUUAGUUUUGAAAUGUAUAAGGAACCACCUCCAAGAUUGUUAUGUAUUUUGGAGACAUCAGGACCUAAGCACUGUUAAUCGUGGCACGUCUUUCCUAAAGUUGCCAUAAUGGUUGAAAAUUUGAACACUAAAAUAUGUUUGCAUGGAGAAUUCAAUCCAUAAGUUUAACCCGGGCUUUGGAAUACUAAGGUGGAAUAUGUAUGUUAAUGUCUUAGUGAUAUGCUGAUGAUAGUGGAAUGCAUCAUCUAUAAAUGUUUAUGAUGCAAGCACUGGAUUUUUUUAUCUUUGUUUCGAUAUUAGUAAUUCUGAUAAUUCUAGAUUUUUAAAAUUAUUAGAAAAAAAAAUAUUGCAUCCAACGACACUGUUAGAUGGUAACAUUAGUAGGAAGCCUGUCAAACAUAACCUAUUGACAGUUGACUGAACCUGCUUAUAUUAUUUUUCUUUGUUAUAUUUUGGGUUUUCAUAGGUGACCUAUUGCUAUGAAAUGUCUGACAAAAUAGUUUGCCUGAUUUUCCUAGAAGUUGCUUUUUCCUAGAAUCACCAGUUUGUAGUAGUUUCAGUUUAGAAGAACAAAUUCUAUUUUCCAAUUUGACAACUCCACCUUUAAGCCAUUGUCUUAGUCAGAGUGGUAAACACACACAUAUAUUCAUGGUAAAUGCAGUUCUUUCAGCUUGAUGGAGUUUCUACUUUUGAAAUUAUCUAGAAAAUUGGGAAUGAAAAUGCAUGUCCUACAAGUCAUUUAAUAUCAGCCAUGUUGCAUCAGCAUGGCUGCUGAAUCUGAGACACCCUUUACUUUGGUUGUUGUUUGGGUUCUUUGAAGUUUGAUCUUUUUUUUUCGUAUCUAAUAUAUAUUUAUAAUCUUUUUCAGGAUCCAAGGUUUCCUUUGGGCUGCAAAUUUGGCAAUUCUGCAGAUGAUCUACUUCGUUGGCCUUCUCUUGUGUGUCCCUUUUAGAAUUUGAUUUUUCUUUUGACCAUUGUGUAUCGAGACAUUUUUAUCUGAAACAUAUUCCUUGUUGUACAUUUGUAUAUAUUGUGACAAUCUAGUGGUAUAUUAUAUAUCCAUUUCUCAACUUUGUUGGUGCUAUAAUCUCUUGCAUGUGAGUAUAUAUAUAUUAUCUUUGACUUGCAUAAUUUCUGACUGGAACUGUUACAGCAUUUGAUGGAACUCGUAGAUGUGAUUUGAUUUUACGUGGAAAGGAGAACCAACUUACACCGUUAACCUUGGACUCUUGAUCAUCUGAAAACUUGGAAAUUUUGCUUGUUUUCCAUCCAUGGAGAGCUUGGCGCAGCUGGAAACCUUAUGUGAAACUCUGUACACUUCCCAGAAUUCAGCUGAACGAGCACAUGCAGAGAGCACCCUUAAAUGCUUUUCUCUGAAUCCAGACUACAUUCCACAGUGCCAGUACAUUUUGGACAAUGCAUCGACUCCUUACGCUUUGGUGUUGGCUAGUUCCAGCUUGUUGAAGCAAAUAACGGAACAUAAACUGUCUUUGCAGAUGCGGCUUGAUAUCCGUAAUGUUCCUUUCUAGUUAUAUACAUUAAUUGGUAUACACAUUUUGUUCUUUAUGAGCAGAGGGGAUAUAUUUUUUUUCUUUAUAAUUUUCUUGCCAUAAUAUUCCAUGCCCAAUUUAUUUCUUUCUUUUUUGGUCUUCUAACUAGGAGCAUAUAUGUGACUUUUUUGACAUUAUAAAUAUAAAUGGCUGCUAAAGCAGGUUGUGAAGCUUUGGAAAUUAACCUUAUUGUUGCUUUAACUUCUGCAUAGUACUGUACCAUCGAAUUGGAAUAUUAUUUCAUUUUUUGUUUGCAAUUUACUGUACGGAUAUAAUGCCUAAAAUUUAUCGUUUUGCUUAGUCUUUCCAUUAUGUUCUUGGCUUAUUUUUCUGUAGUCUGAGCAUAAUGUGGUCUGAAAUUUUAGUCUUAAAAAGCUUUCUUUUGCUUUUUGUUAUAUCUUGAUAGUCUUGUCUUGCAAUUAACGUAUUUGUUUGACUUAUCUUGCAAUGUUCUAAAUUGGCAUGCAAUCUCUUUGAAGGAAAUUAUGUGAUAAAUUACCUUGCUACCAGAGGACCUGAAUUGGAGAACUUUGUAAUUGGAUCUUUAAUUCAACUUUUAUGUCGAGUGACGAAAUUUGGAUGGUUUGAUGAUGAUAAAUUCAGGGAAGUUGUAAAGGAAGCGACAAACUUCUUGAAUCAGGUAACUAAUGCUUUCUUAGAUCUUAAGUUUAUUCUCAUAUAUUCUCAGAACUUUGUUAAAGCUACGGACCAUGCCUGCGGUAAGGAUAGAUGUCACUAGCAUUUUAAGUAUUUACUCUUGGAUGUGCUAUUGGGACCAAAAUAAUGUUUCUCUCUUCUCUCUAUAGUCUAUAUAUAUAUAUAUAUAUAUAUAUAUAUAUAUAUAUAUAUAUAUAUAUAUAUAUAUAUAUAUANNNNNNNNNNNNNNNNNNNNGUAUAUGUAUAUAUGUAUAUAUGUAUAUGUAUAUAUGUAUAUGUAUAUAUGUAUAUAUGUAUAUAUGUAUAUAUGUAUAUAUGUAUAUAUACAUAUACAUAUAUACAUAUAUACAUAUACAUAUAUACAUAUAUAUACAUAUAUACAUAUAUAUAUAUAUAUAUGUAUAUAUUCUAUCUCCUUCCCUUUUCUCUGUUUCUGCAUAGUGAAUUUGUUAUGCUCUUCACAUCUUAAUGAUCUUUGAGAUCUUUGACUUCGACUGCAUGCUUCCACUGGCUACAUGCCAUGCUUAAAUUGGAUGCAGUUGGGAUGAAUUGGUGCCUACAGAACAAAUUAAUCUAACUUGAACACCAGUUUCUUAACUAAAGAAUAACAAAGAUGUGUUGGUUCUUCUUUUACUCCGUAAAUUUCAUUUUAUCCUUGAGUUCCAUGCGUAAAUCUUAUAUUGAUUAUCCACUGUAGAAUUUUGUCACCUUAUUAUGGCCAUUGUCACUGGUUAACCUUGCUAUAUAUGUAAGUGAGCACACAACCUGAAGUGACGCAGAUGAUAAACACAGCCUAAAGUUUUGUAAAAACUGACUUUACUUUUCAUGGAAUAUCCUUUUCCUGUUUUCCUUGGAGGUAGAACUCAAUCUAGUAUUAUUUUUCUGAGGCAAGGCCAGGGCUCAUUCUGUUGUGCUAAAGGUACAAGUAAUUGUUAGACAUGAUUCUGCAUCUGCUUAGCUAGGUUCUACUUAUACCUUUAAGUAUAAAUCUCAAACUCAUUAAUGACCAAGCAGCUGAAUCCAUCAUCAUUUCAUGUGGAAGUCUUGUGAUUUUGCUAACUACCAACUACCAAGUGAUAGAUAGUUCCUUUAAUUGUUGAGUUUAUGUAUUUAUUCAAAAUUCAUGAAAAACAUUGGGAUUACGUGUUUCAGAUAAUUGUCAGACAGAUAUGUUGAGUUCAAGGUAAGGACCAAACUCUCAUGUCCUGGCAUGUCAUAUGCGUAUGAGUUAGUUGUUAGCUUGGUUGACAUACUUAUGUUGCCUUGUGGUAGAUAAAAUAUUGUGCCUCAUUUGCAAAAUAGAAAAAUGGUGCAAAAGAUGUCUAAGUUCUGUCUUAUCUUUAUAGGAGUAGAGACCAACUGUCUUGUGUUUUUGAUUUAUAAUCUUGAAAAGGAUGAUAAAGACUACAUUUUGGAAGAUAUGUGACAUACAACUGAACUACAUGUUUACAACCUACUGGCAAGAGAUAUAUUUUGUGCUGUAUGAAUUACCUUAAACUGAGGUUCAAAUUAUAAUCGAUCCAUUUCUUGUCUGUCAGUAUUUCUUGGGCCUUGAUAAAAGCCUUCUAUGGAACUUUUGGAUUUGUUAUAUUUGAGCUGAAUGCCUCAUUCAAAUUUACCCCUUUGAUGCUUACCUCUAAGCAGAAUAUUUCAAUGGCAUGUCUAUGCAGUUUGGCUGCACUGUAUCAAAUACUUGAGUUUUUAGAGAAGCCCUAAUCACUGACAUUUUUUCAUUCUCUAUUUUGUUUAAGCUAGCUGUUUUUGUUCACUCUAUGGUUUAGACAUUGAAAUCUGUUAUAUUUGUCAGAUUUUGUUGUUGAGAUCAAGGUUCCUGAUUGUGGGGCACCUGAAUUAGUUAUAAAUGGCUAGGAAAUGCUGGGGAAAUUUUACAGUAACCUGAAUGGGGUUUAAAUUUCACUGUAGAAUGUAGAUGAUGGAAAUACUUGAAAUGCUAUAUUCAGCCAAUUACUGAGCCAUAUUUGAUAUAAUUAAAUUUGUUGUUUGCUCAUGUUUGAGCAUACAUUUUCUGUUGUGGAUGCAUCUGGUUCAUUGAAUUUUUGUUUUAAUUGUCAGCCAGUUGUUCAAAAAACAUCCUAUAAGAAGAAAAGAUCAAUAAAUAAUACAGAUGUAGUAAAAUUUUCAGAUUCCUUGUCUCAAAUGAUUUCUGCCAAUCUAAGGAAUCACAUAAUUACUAUCUAGAAUGAACAAUGGAUGCUAAAAUUGUGAAAUAAUGUGAAUAAGAGAUCAGUCCAUCAAGAUGGGUUUGUGACAAUGAUGGCGCUUCCUGUUCAUUGUCCUCGUCAUCACAAAAUUAUGUGGUUUGUUGCCAUAUGAAGGACUAGAUUGUUAGAAUCUGAAAUUUCGUAUGCAAGAUGUUUGGAUCAGGGAACUCUAUUUUAUCCAAUGUACCAGGUGAUAUUUAUUGAACCAGGACACUGACUGCUCAUUUUUAGACAGUCCAGUUGCAGUACAGGGCUUACUGUCUAGUACUCCUCUCCUCCUCUUCUUCUUGACUGCUGCACCUCUUGUUAUCCUUCUCUUCUCUUCUCCUCCUUUUCCUACUCCUCUUCAUCUUCUUCUUCUCCUUCUCCUCUCCCAUUCAUGUGUUGGUUUUGCCGGCACAGCAUGGACUGGAUCUGUGCUGGUGUGGCCAUGGACUAGAAUGGAGUUGGUAACCAAAAUGUCAAACCAUGGUUCAAAUUAUGUUGCUGCUUUCUGUAUGCAAAGUUGCAAUGAUGAAAUUUCAUAGAAGACAUCCAAAUACAUCUUCUUUCAGGCAUCAUUUGUUUGCUAAAUUUAGCAUCUGAUUCACGUGGAGUUUGUACACUAGUUUUGAAGGUUUCAUUUAUUGCUUAUUGUAAGAUCCUUGAUUUCUGUGUUUCAGGCAUCAUCAGGUCAUUAUUCUAUAGGCUUGAAGAUGCUCAAUCAGCUUGUAUCUGAGAUGAACCAGGUUAGUCUUACCUUUGCAAUUUAAAAUCUUUAUUUAUAUCCUUAUUAUAUGUUAAUCAUACUACUAGAAGUUCAGAAGUCUUACCAUUUAAUCCUUAUUGUAUGUAAUUUCUAUCCUGCAAAUUCUGUUAUCUUAUAUUUUUUUAGUGGAAAUUGUACGGCCUGAUAAAAUCAGAAGGGUUCCUUUUAUGAUCAUGCCUGAAUUUUUUGACUACUUCAGUGGUUACAGUUGCUAAUCAGGCAAUGACCUUCCUAGAUCACGUUAUAUUAAAUUUCUUUCUUUCUGUGUGUUUUUGCUUUACUAUUCUUUCUGUCAUAGCUUCAAGCCAUGAUACCUUUUAGUGCACACAUCUUUUAUACUGCUUUUUUACCUCACUUUUCAUGGUGAUCAAACUAUAAAAUAUAGUACAGAAGCAAUGUUUAAAACUGGGUGUGCCAAAGAACGCUUUAGCUCAUGAUAAGUUUAAAAUGUGUGAAUAAUGGAAAAUGUAAAUGCAUGUUUGCUAUAUAGUAGACAAUUGCAUUGGUUAUGGCAACUACAAAAUUGUCUUCAUUUGCCCUUGAUAUAAUGAGCACAAAUUAUGUUGACUACUUUAGAUUUGUCAAAUAGAAAAUUAGAAGAUAAAACCUCAAAGAAAUGUUCUCAUGAACAUUUGCCUUUUGAUCUAGCUCAAACAUUAAUGUACUAGAUUAAAAUAGUUGUAGUCCAAAUGAUCUUGAGGUUCACUCAAUCAAAACACUAAAUCUCACUCUGUACCAGUGAUUUAAAUGGGCGCUCGGGAUCUUGAGGUUCACUCAAUCAAAACACUAAAUCUCACUCUGUACCAGUGAUUUAAAUGGGCGCUCGGGCGCUCGCCUAAGUGUUCGGGCAAGGCUAGGCGAGGCGAGGUUCGAGCGCCCCAACAGUGAACCAAGUGACGCGCUUCAAUGAGGCGCCGCCUAGGCGCUCACUCGAACUCAGGCAUCAGGUGCCUUGGGCGAGUGCCCGGUUCAAACAGUUGAAUCGAACCAGACUUUUAAGUCUGGUUUGAUUCAACAAUUGCUAGUUGGUUCGAUUGAACCAACUAACCACUUCUUACCUGCAAAAGCCACCCCCGUAUGCCCGUGUGACCUCGAGCGAUCAACCCUAGCGAGCGCUCCUGCCUCUGCCGCUGACGCUUUCUAUCGCUACCUCUGCCGUAGACGCAGUGGACCGAGGUAUCCUCUGUUGCCAAUGGACGGGUUCGACGGUUUAGCCUUUGUCCGUAGCUUUCUUCCGUCGUUGCUGGUAGUUCCUUCUACCGUCGAGGGAGAGGACCGCAGCUUCCUCCACGAUUAACGUACACUUUAGAAGCUUCCUCUGUCCACGAUGUCGUCAUCCAGAGCUUUCGUUGCUGUCGCUAUCACUGUCCACAGCUUCAGCCACUGUCACAGUUGUCGUCUGCAACUUCCUCCGCUAGCGCGACUGUCAUCCGCCGCUGCUGCUAUCGUCUACAGCUUCCUCCGUCAUCGUUGUCUUCUCCUUCCUCAUUGUCAACCAUUGGUGACACUUUUCUCCAACUUAUUUUUUUCUCCCCCUCUGCUAGUGUUAACGAUUUUUUUCUCCCCUCUAACUACUGUUAAUAAUAAGUAAUAUAUUGUUAACAGUAGAUUUUAAAACUAAUGACAAGUGUACAAAGCAGUUUAAUUCUAAUAUUGGUCUUCAUAAGCAUGUUUAACAUAUUUCUAUUUAGUUGUAUAUUAUUUUAAUUAUAAUAUUCAGGAGUGCCUCGUUUCGCUCGGGCGGGCGUCUAGUGUCUCGGGCGUUGUGGGACUUUGGCGGCUUUUGGCACCUAGCACUUUUUAAAUCACUACUCUAUACCAAUAUUAUUUGUUGAUUGUCUUGUUAAACUUAGUUUAUAAUAUUUUUUACGUCAAAAAUGAAUUGAAAUGUUUUUAAGAACCAUUGUAAACCAUAUGCAAAGUAUACAUUUUAAGAACUUCUAAAAAUGUAUCAAGUAAAUACAUGGUACAUAUAUUACAAUUGAAAAACUUGUAAAUAUGUGAAUUUAUUAUUAGUGUCUACUACUAUCAAAAGGAUCACUAUGUUGUUGCUGGAGGUAGUUGGAGAUCAAUACUAGAAUUUUGAAGAACC
rnacentral:lncRNA from 1 species